rnacentral:lncRNA from 1 species
UCAAUUUAUUCAAUGCAACACUCCAUACCGUCUCAGCUUUUCCCUUCAAACUACAAGCAACAGCUGCAAUGGCAACCGGCAAUCCUUUACAUUCAUUGGAAAUUAAUCUUCCCAGACCCUUUAAGGUAUCAGGGGUGCCUUCUGAUAUAAGCGCUUUAUUUUGGAAAAGAGUCCAUGCUUCUUCAUCGGUUAAAAUUGGCAAGUAAAUCUUUGUUUGACAAUCCAUUAAAGUACAAACUGCUUCUGAUCUACUGGUAAUGAGAAUCUUGCAGCCUUUAUGGUGUUGAGAAGAAGGAAUCCCAAUACGACCAAAGUCAAGCUUUUCCCACACAUCAUCUAGAAUUAUAAAAAUAUUUUUCUCUUGAGUUAAUCUUGAGCACAAUCUUUGGGCUCUCUGCAUUUCUUCGGUUUCUCGAAAUUCAAAUUGCAGUGAACUUGCUAUUUUUUCUUGAAUCCUCCGAACUUCCACGGUGCUAGAAACAGGUACAAAAAGAACUUUUUCAAAAAGAUGCUCUGCUUCUACUAAUUUCCUAAGCUCCAUUGCUAAUGUGGUUUUACCACAACCUCCCAUCCCAUACAACCCAAUCAUGGAAACAUCAUUAUGUUUCACUGCAUCCAGUAGUUGCUCGUAUGCAGAUUGUCUACUCUCAAAAUUCAUGCAUUUUUCUGAAAGCAUAUCAAGGGUGUUUGAAGGAAGUGUAGCGAUUCGGUCAAAUGGCACAUAUUUUCUACCCUUUUCAAUGAACUUUUCGAGGUCCAUAGUUUUAUUUGCUAACUUUUUUCCAACAUGGUAUCGCUAAAUCCAAUUUGGGCAGUGUUUAAAGCAACAAUGUUUUUGUGUUCUUGCCUCUUCCAGCAACUGAUUGACAUUGUGUACAUCAUUGAUAGCAUCUUCCAGCCACUUGUCCACAAUUUCACUAGGCUUCCUCGCUUGUUUCUUUUUAUGCGUGACAAAUUUUUGGACACUAUCUUUGGUUAUAAUCAAAUUGUUCUCUUCUUCUUCAAGCUUUUUGACGAAAUUUUUAAAGCAACAAGGAUAACGUAAUUGAUUUAAUGCUCCACACACUAAAUCUCUUGAAACUGAAGAUGCAAAACCCAAGAGACACUCCAUCAAUUUAUUCCAACAUAUACAACUUUCUUAAACCUAAACAAGAAAAGAUAAACGCACUUGUAAGUCUUGCAAUUAUAUUUAGAUGUAUUACCUGACAAAAUGAUUUUAAAAUAAUUUAUUUCAUCUUUCAGUACAUAAAAAGUUAUCCAGAGUAGUAAUUAAAUUUAAUAUUUUCGAUCCUAAAUAGUGAAUUAUCGGAUACACAAUAAAAAAAUCUAAUAACUUUAAUCAUUGCUUUUAAAAAUUUUAGGUUUGAUAAGAGUUUUUAAAUAUAUUUUUCGUCACUUUGAUAAUUUUGUGGAACAUCUUUUUUUCUUAAAAUAAUGUUUUGUAAAUGUUUUACCCUCCACCAAAAAUAAAUAAAUCAUGUUCAAAUAUAGAAGUAUGUAGAUGAGAAGAUUUAUUAAAUAGAAAAAAAAGUGUACCAGUACAAAAUAUAUUUAACCAAACAUUAAACUAAAACAUGCAUUGUAUACAAAAUUAACAUUAUACUUCUUUUUGUAAGUUUAAUUUUUCUAUAUUUAUUUAAAUUUAUAUCAACAUUGUUACAUUAUAUCAAUUUUAGAUAAAAUGAACAAAUAGAAAAAAAUAUAGAAAAAGAACAAAAGUACAUAAUUCCUUAAUAUGUUAAUUGUGAUAGAGGAUAUGGGAAUUAAGUUAUUAUAUGCAUGAUCUGAUUGGUUACUUGAUGAGUAACAAGAGUUCUACACUUUAUAAACAAUUUCAUAUACAAAAUUGUUAAGAUAAGAUUGUCUAUAAGACUGAACUAUCUAAACAUUCUCAUGUGUUUUGAAGUUUAACAAACAACACUAAACGAAAUAAGCAUAUAACAAGUGUUAGAAUAACAACAUAGGUAAAAUAUAAAUGAUUUAUGAAAAUGCUGAAAAACUCAAAUAACUUAGGCAAAGCCUUGGUGAAACACCUAGGUAUGAACAAGAGACACCACUAAACGAUUCUCAAAUUAAUGCGUCAUUGAAAGUCUUGCUGAAUGCAAAUGUUAUACAUAGCUAGACGAUAACCAAACAAACUCUCAAUAUGUCUUAGUAGAUAAAAGUGUUAAAAUAUGUUUUUGGAAAACAUGCUGAAAAAGUCUUAAUUGAUAGUCCAAAAACUUAUGUUAGAAGGCACCAUGCAAAACGCACUUGUUGAAUAGAACGGAGAAAAAUCUAAAGCGUUUACAUAAGCUAAACGAUACCAUGUUCCAAACAAUCUACUUCAUCUAACGGUGAAGUUUCCAUCAACUGCUUGGUAUCUUAGUACAAAGCUUAAAUGAUCAAAUCCUACCUGAAUGGUAGAAUCCGCAAAGUUGUUUUGAAAAAACAUUAAAUGCUCAACGUUUAAAAAUAACAAAACUGACAAGAGAAAAGAUAUAUCUACUGCAUGCAUAUCUACUCUACUUUGUGCAGAUUGUCUAUCACAUGCAUCCAUAUGCUCCAUCCUAUACAAAUAAGAAGUGAAAGUUAGGAAUAAAUAAGACAAUCAUGGAAUGUUCUCUCUAUCAAAACGUACCAAGAAAAUCGUACCACCUACCAAGAAAAUAUGGAAAACAAAGAAUACAACCUCAACAGUUCAUCCCAACCCAAAGAAGAGUCGUCUACAAAAAGCAGUACAACUCAAGACAACUUCAAGGGCAAUAUAUAAUAGAAGUUUGCUAACCGACUUCGAAAAAGAAAUGAAUAACUUUGAAUGCUCAUUAUAAUACUCCGACAGUGAGGUAAAUUUUUUUGACUUAGACUCCGUUACUGAAGCCUGUUAUAGAGUGUUGACAAAGUGUACAAAACUAGCUUAAACCUAUCAAAAAGUAAGGAAACAAAAUAAAAGAAUCUUAAAAGGAGAUGAUGCUUUGAAAAAUGAACUGAAAUCAUCCAAGAUAGAAGCCAAAACAUUAGAAAAAGAUAUCAACAAAUUAGAAAGUGAACUAGCAAUCUCAGAAAGAGAGAAUUAUAGACUAGUGCGGAAGAACAAAAUUUUGGUGGAAAACGCAACAAUUGGAAAAGAUGUUAGAUGCCUUGAGUUUCUUGCACUCAAAAAUAAUAUCUUGCUCAAGACAUCAAACAAAACGUUUUGAGAAAUUAAAGGUUUAAAGCUACUUGUCAAGAGUAGCAAAUGUUUUGCACACCAAGAGAUCCUAAGCAUAAUAACAGUAGUAUAAAUUAUGUCUCCAAAUCAAAAAAAUAUAUCCUCGAAUAUAGAUCUCAUAUACAAGGGAAACCACACAAAUAAAUAUGAAUAACAAAAUAGGACCCAGAACUAGAUAGGCACCAAAGAAUUAAAUUCUUUUGCUUGCAGAAGUGUUAGACGAUCGAGUGGAAACUCCGAUUAUGAAACCUGGCAAGUGGCUUCUAAUAGUACACAAGGGAAGGAAAGUGUAUAUCCCUAAGCUAGAAGAGUCUAUUAGAGAACAGCUUUUACAGAGAGAUGAAUAAGAAAGGUGAACGUAAUCUGAAUAUGCCUCGUACUCAUUUAUCAGAGAGUGUGUAAAUUUAUACAACAGAGUUAUGUAAAACAGAUAGAAAUAACAGACCUAAUAGACUUAACUGUCUUAGAGACAGUUUACAUAACAGCUAAUUGUAAAACCCAUAACACUAAAAUGAGGGCAUUGAAUUAACUUUCCAAUACACCCCCCUAAUUCAAUGUCUUCAAAGAUAGCACUCCAAUACUUGAUCUGAGGAAUUUGAAUCUUUCCAACUUGAGAGAUUUCGUAAAAAUGUCUGCAAGUUGGAGCUCGGUCCGGCAAUGUUUCAAAACAAUCCUCCCUUUAGUUACCAUAUCACACAAGAAAUGAUACUUGAUGUCUAUGUGUUUGCUGCGACCAUGACUAACCGGAUUCUUCGCAAGAUUGAUUGCUGAUGUGUUGUCCAGGUUUAGUUCAACACAGUCCAUAGUCUCUAUUUUUAAAUGCCUAAGAAUUUCCCUCAGCCAUACACUUUGACACACAGGAUGACAACCAGCUACAUAUUCAGAUUCGCAAUUGGACAAUGCUAUGACAUUCUGCUUUUUAGAACUCCAUGAGAUUGGAGCACCAUGGAUGAAGAAUAUGCUUCCAUAUGUGCUUUUCCUGUCAUCUUCAUCACCACCAAAGUCUACAUCUGAAUAGCCCACCAGCUUCACUUCUUCACGUUUCUGACCUUGCUGAAAUAGAAUGCCAAAACUUCAGUUCCUUUUAUGUAUCUCAUCAUUUGUUUUGCAGCAGUCAUGUGGCUUUUCCUAGGAUUACUCAUGAAUCAACUCAACAAUCCAACUCCAAACAUGAUAUCUGGACGGUUGUUGCAUAGGAAUCUCAACGAUCCAACCAGUUGUUUAUACCUGGUUCCAUCUACACCUUCUUCUUCUUCAUUGAUCCGCAGCUUCUUGCCAACCUCAAGUGGGGUUUCGACUUCAUUGCAUUUAUCCAUCAUGAACUUGCUUAGUAUGUCUCUUACAUACUUUCUCUGGUGCAUCAGCAGCCCUGUAGAGGUCUUAGAAAAUUCCAUUCCCAAGAAAUACCUAAGUUCUCCCAUAUCAGUCAUGUCAAACUCAGUCUGCAUCAACUGUUUGAAUUCUUCCAAGCUCGAACCAGUCAGCAACAAAUCAUCAACAUAAAGACAUACAAAUAGGACAUUGUUGUUUUUGUUUGUCUUCACAUACAGGCUGUGCUCCACUGAACAUCUAUCAAAACCUUUGCUGUCAAAGAAUGCAUUGAUCCUCUUAUUCCACGCACGAGGGGCUUGUCUCAAUUCGUAGAGUGCUUUAUCAAGUUUAUAGACUUGAUUCUCUCUUCCUUUCUUGAUGAAACCCGGAGGCUGUUUGAUGUACACCUCUUCCUCGAGAAAUCCAUGCAAAAAAGCAGAUUUCACAUCAAGAGCAAAUAGAUUCCAUUCUCUAAAGCAUGCUAUAGCAACAAUUAUACGAAUGUUUCUAACCUUGCGACAGGUGCGAAUACUUCAGUGAAAUCUAUGCCCUCCUUUUGUAGAAAUCCCUUGGCCAAGAGCCUAGCUUUAUGCUUCAAUACAGAACCAUUUGGGUUUAUUUUCUUCUUGAAGAUCCACUUCACGUUUAUACUCUUCUUGCCCUGUGGUAAAUCCAUCAACUUCCAAGUCUUAUUCUUCUCGAUGGAUCUUAAUUCUUCAGUCAUUGCAGCUUUCCAAACUGGUUGAGGCAGAGCUUCGUUGACAUCCAUUGGUUCACUCCCGGCAAUCAAAGCUAGAUGUAUUAUAUCUCCCUCUUCAUCAACUCCAGCGUUUGAAUAUAUUUCGUAAUCAUUUAGUCUUGAGGGUUGCACCACAGAUCUUCUAGGUCUUGUUUCGUUGUUCAUUGUCCCAGUGGUUCCUGUAUUAUCUACUGCUAGAGUAGAGUUAUCUACUGCCUGAUUAGAUCCAUCUAUCUCGACAUUUUUGUCUUCUUUGUCUGACAGUUGUAUGCUCACAGAAGUUGCUGACUUCUUCAUGCUGGUUUGGUUGAACUUCCAAUUCCAGCUUUCAUCUUCAAGCACGACUACAUCUCGACUAAUAGUUAUUUUCCUUUUGAUUGGGUCGAACAACCUAUAAGCUCCUGUGGACUGAUAUCCCACAAACACCAUGGCUUCUCCCUUGUCGUCAAGUUUUACUCUUCUCUGAUCUGCUACAUGACAAAAGGCCAAUGAUCCAAAAAUUUUAAAAUGUUUCACAGAAGUUUUCUUACCUGUCCACGCUGCAUGCGGCAAUGCGGCACAUGGUUUGGAAGGCUUUUGGUUGGACACCUGUUUAAUACAUGAACAGUUGUCGCCACUGCUUCUCCCCACAACUCACGAACCACACCCUUCUCCUUAAGCAUACACCUGACCAUGUUCAUAAUGGUUCUGUUGCGUCUCUCAGCUAACCCAUUGUGUUCUGGUGUAUAGGCUGUUAUCACUUCAUGGAUUACUCCAUUUUCUUGGCAGAAUGCUUCAAAUUCUCGUGAAGUGUAUUCUCCCCCACCAUCUGUUCUAAUCAGUUUAAUCCUUCUUUCGAUUUCUCCUUCUGCUUGCUUCUUGAAUUGUUUGAAUAUUCCCAGUACCUCAUUCUUCUGUCUCAUGAAAAACACCCAUAUCAUACGGCUGAAUUCAUCAACGAAGGUCACAAAAUAUUUAUUCCCUGCUACUGUUGGAGGUUCAAUUGGCCCACACACGUCUGAGUGCAAUACUUCUAGUCGUUCUUUAGAUCUUGAUUUGAGUUGUUUCCUGAAUGACCUCCUAGCUUGCUUCCCAAUUAUGCAAGUUUCACAUUCUCUACGUGGUUGAGUAAUGCUUGGUAACUCAUACACCAUUUCUUUGCUGUUUAGUUGCUGCAGAUCUUUGAAAUUUAGGUGUCCGAACCUAAAAUGCCAUUUCCAGCUCUCGUCUUCUUUCACAGACGAUAAACACUGUAAUGUCUCAACUACAUCCAGACGAACCUGAAACGUCCGAUUUCCUGAUCUUGCACAUUUCAGAAUCAGAUUUUUACCUUUGUCAUAUACUUCCAUCUGCGCAUCACCUCCCAUGAUGACAGUGUACCCCUUCUCUAUCAGUUGUCCUACACUCAGGAGGUUGCACUUCAUCUCUGGUACGAGAAGAACAUUUUCAAGUGUUGCAUGCAGCCCGUUCUUUCUUUUGAUUAUAAUCGUUCCAAUCCUUUCUACUCUCAACGUGUUGUUGUUGGCAACUCUGACUUUACUCUUCUUGGAUUCAUCUAGAUUCACCAACCAGCUUCUGUUGUACGUCAUAUGAUUAGAACAACAAGAGUCCACAUACCAGAUGUUUUGUGCUAUCCCGGUGUCCUCUAUGUUGGUGGCAACCAUGAGUAUUAAAGGUUCUGACUCAAAUUCUUCUUCUUCAACCACAUGAGCUUCUUUGUUUUGAACCCCCUUGUUCUGGGCAUUCUUGUUAAACCAGCACUCGUAAGAUAGAUGUCCUUUCUUACGGCAGAUAAAACAUUCCAUAUUCUUUUUCUCUUCUUUUGAAUAUUGCUUCCUCGGGGUAUUCUUUCUAUCUGUAGCAUUGCUUUUCGCUUCUUGAUCAUCUGUGUCUUUCUUCCAUUUCUUCGUAUCUUUGCCCAUCCCUUUCCACUUGUUUGAUUUCUUCUUUUCAUCACCAGAAAUAUGUUGAAUCUUCAAGGCUUGGUCAUCGUGUUUCUUCCUGCCAUUUCUUCGCAUUUCAUGAGCUUCAAACGUACUUUGCAAUUCUUCAAUCCUAAGUUUCUCCAAAUCUCUGGUUUCUUUAAUGGUUAUGACAAGAUGGUCGAAUGCAGCAGGCAAUGAUCUCAGAAUCUUUUCCAUUAUCAUUGCAUCUGCAAGUUUCUCCCCGCAGGCUCUCAUCUGGUUUGCUAUUGAUAUCACGCAACUGAAAAACUCGUUCACUUUAUCACUAUCUUCCAUCUCCAUGUGUUCGUAUUGUCUCUUUAGGGCUUGCAGUCUAACCUUCUUGACCUUUUCUCCUCCAGAAUGGCGACGGACAAGGAUGUUCCAUGCCUCCCUCGCGGUCACAACAUGCUGGAUCUUUUCGAAGUUUGCAUCGUCCACCCAUUGUUGUAUUAUCAACAAAGCUCUGUCGUCUUUUUCCUUCCAGUCUUUCUUCUGCUCUUCUUUUCCAGAGGCAUCAACCAUUGGAUCUCCUUCGACUACAUUGCUGACCUUCUGAACGCGGAAAACCACCCGCAUCUGGGUAUGCCAACGGCUCCAGUUAUUAUCUGUGAGUAUUGGAUAGUGCAGCGUUGAUAAUUCCGCCAUUAUCACAAGCUUCUUCAAGGCUCAAGAACGUCUGAAAUUGUACUUUCUUGGUUAGACAAGACAACCCUCCGUUCCCCGGUUUUCGAAACCUAUGCUCUAUGAUACCAUUAUUAGAGAACAACUUUUACAGAGAGAUGAAUAAGAAAGGUGAACGUAAUCUAAAUAUGCCUCGUACUCAUUUAUCAGAGAGUGUGUAAAUUUAUACAACAGAGUUACGUAAAACAGAUAGAAAUAACAGACCUAACAGACUUAACUGUCUUAGAGACAGUUUGCAUAACAACUAAUUAUAAAACCCAUAAGACUAAAAUGAGGGCAUUGAAUUAACUUUCCAAUAGAGUCAAGAGAAGGAAGGAAUCACCGGAAGAAGGAAAAUGCAGAACAGGAUCACAAACUCAGGAGAGAAAGGUGCGCUCGCUGUCCCUCAUUCUAAAACAAAUUUCUGCAACAUAAUCUUCAUGGCAUUAAUUAAAUUAACAAUAGUUACAUAUUACUUGGUUGCUUACAUUCAAUACAUAAGACCAUACAUCUCAAAGUACUUUAUGAAAAGUUAAAAUUAGUCGUACUAAACAAUGUGUCUAGACAUCCUUUGAAGUCUAAGAGAUACUAAACGUGUAAACCCAACCCAAUGCUUAAAUCACAAUGCACACCGAAUCUAGAAACAAACGUCAAGAGUCUUCAUCCAACGAUGCCACAUCCCACAUCAUUUAAGACAAAUCGUCUACAAACACACACCAUCCAAAAUAAAACCCUAUGGAAACUCACCUUUCCACGCCAUACUAUGUCGUACAGGACUUAUUAAAUGAGCAAUGACGAUUUAUUUUAAAAUCCCUAAAAAAUAUCAUCUCUCACAGGGCAACCGCCAAAUAAACACUCUUCGUGUACCUUAAGUUACCAAACCCUAUUCUCAAAACCUCUUGCAAAAACCUAAAGUCAACGAAAAACCACCCAACAAUCAUGGCCGCUCACGUUGAGGAAAUCAUCACCACUAAUGAAGUAUUUGCUAAUGCCAAAAAGGCAUUCGUCAUAAACCCAACCAUGGACAAAGCAAUUGAAAUCUACUUAGAACACUGGGUAGACCUCAAAGCCCUAAGAGUCGUGGAUAUGAAGAGAAAGUUUUUGAGCUGUAUUGUGAUGUGUCAUAUCAAAGACUGUGAUGUGUACUAAUGCAAGGAAAGAAACCAGUGGCGUAUGCAUCUUGUUAGUUGAAGGUGCAUGAGAAGAACUAUCCAAAACAUGACAUGGAGUUAGCUGCAGUAGUGUUUGUUUUAAAGACAUAGAGACAUUAUCUAUGUGGGGCGCGUUUUCAAGUCUUUAGUGAUCACAUGAGUCUGAAAUACUUGUUCGAUCAGAAGGAGUUGAAUAUGCGUAAGAGGAGAUGGAUGUAGUAUUUGAAAUACUACGAUUUUGAAUUGCAGUACCAUCCAGGUAAGGCAAAUGUUGUUGUUGAUGCUUUAGGCAGGAAGAAAGUACAAAUGACAGCCUUGAUGGUAAAAGAGUUAGAGUUGAUCGAGAAGUUACAAGAUAUGAACUUGGGAGUACAGGUGAAAGAAGGUCAUAUCUAGUGUAAUUAUUUGGCUAUCAGGAGUGACUUCUAUUACCAAUAUGAAGCAUUAUUACUUUGAAAUCAUUUUGAUGAUGAGGCACUUACAGACUUAAAGACUUAAAUAAACUAUAUUGUAAAUGUUAAAAACACUUUCUGUAGAAAUAAUUUGUAUAAGAAUUAUUUUAUAAUUGUAAGCACUUAGAAGUUUCAUAACUUAGUGAUUUAUUACAACAAUAAUCGAUUAUCAUAGGGGAUAAUCGAUUAUCACAAGUAAAGGUGGAAAAUGAUUCGUCUUGGCAAUAAUCGAUUAUCAUAGGGGAUAAUCAUUUAUCACCGCAAGUUUUGAUAUUUUCAGGAUUCAGAAAUAAUCGUUUAUCACUAUAGAUAAUCGAUUAUCACAUUUUCCAAAACUCCUAACGGCUUGAUAUAAUCGAUUAUCACUUGUGACAAUUGAUUAUCACUAGUAAUUGGGAGUUGCUUUUUCAUUUUUUGACCCCUGGCCUAUAUGGAAAAAAGGUACACAUACCCUUCCUUUAAUAUAUGUGAGAAUCACAUAAUUUCAAAAUUCUAUUUUGGCUUUCUAUAUCAUGCAGUUAUUUGAAAAUAUUUAAGUUUGGCCACGUGCUUUUAACAUUACCAAAGUCACACAUAGUUUAUUCUAGCAAGAUUAGUUACACGGAUUGUGUCAUUAGUUAUCUAGUCCUCCUCUAUUUCCAUGUUUGUUGUCUUCGGUGUAAGGAGGUAUAUUGGAAAUCUCAAGUCGGCUAAAUAAAUGACCAAGUUAUAAUGUACAAGUAGGUAUAAAGCUCACUUUCUGAGUUACAUUUUUGGAAUAUGUGAAUGCUCUUUGUCCUUAAUGUGAAGUAUGUUGAAAAUUUCACAUUAACUAAAGAUUUGCACAAAUUGUAAUGCAUAAGUGAAUACAAACCACACUUUACUAAAUUGAUUUUAUAAAAUUAAAUUAAAGUUGUUAAAAAUAUAUCUUAACAAAAUUAGCUAGGUAUAUCAAACCUAACUCUUUACCCUUCUCGGUGUCCUCAAUUUAAGAGAAUGUAUUAAAAAUUUCACAUUAAUAAAAAAUUCAUAUAUAUAUAUAUAUAUAUAUAUAUAUAUAUAAUUAAUAAAUUAGUUUAACUUAUUAUGAUUAUAAAUUAAUUUCAAAUACUCAUUUAAUUUCAAAUAAUUCAUUGUGUACAAAAAUUAACUAGAUUUAAAUAAACUUUUGAGCUAGUUACACUUUUACUCUCUCUUAGAAAAAGGACAUUAACUCCGUUUAAAGUAAACUGAUACGAAACUGCUUUUAAAAUUUUACACAAAUUUUCCAUUUGUAUAUUAAAUAUCAGUUUUCUUUCACAUUACACGUGUUCCUUCAUAAAGUUAGUGAAUGUAAGCAUAAUUUGAGAAAGGAUAUUGUAUUUGACUCAUCCAUACUAUUAUUCAGAUGAUGUUAAUUGCAUAUGAUUUUAAAAAAAAGCUGCCGAUGUUAAAAAUGUUGAUGUUGUACAUAUAUGAUGCAUAAUUGAUAAUGGGAUGUGAAAUAAUUAAAGAUGAUGUUUGUAAUUUGGAAGUGGAAAAUGAUAAAAGAUUACUUUACCUGAUUUAACUAAUAAGCAUAGAGAGAAUGGAGAAUUGGCGAGAAAGAAACAAGUGGUCAUCCAUUAUUUCAAAGAGACUCUGAAACGUUAAGUUACUGCAAAUACAAAACAUAAACACAAACACAUUAUCUAUAACUUCCAUUGAAAAGGAAACGAUUAAAAUUUCAAAUAAGAGCAGAAUAGAAGUUAACUUUUGACUGAUCUAUACCUUCAUAGAGAUGAAUGUACUCCGUUGGUUGAAUCUGAGUAGAGAAUAUGUCAUAGAAUGCAAGAGAUAAGAAUGAAAGCACAGCCUCUUUCUAACACUCAAAAUUUGUUUUCUUCCUAUUCUCCUAUUAUUAGUAUUAAUUCUGCCUGAUCGAGGGAGACUAUAGCUCCCACUUGCAUGUCUUUGAAAAGUCUUCAUGGUUUAUUUAUUAUUGUUGUGUGGUGGGUGCUAUUAGAAUUCAGAAUUAUUAUUAUUAUUAUUAAUUCUGCAUGAUUUAUUAUGUCUUUGAAAAGUCUUGGUCGUUUAUUUAUUAUUUUUUAGUGGUGACUGCUAUUAUCUACCUACCUAUUCAACUCUUGUAAACUUAAUCUCUCUUGCAAAAUUUGUGUUUCGAGAAAUUAAUUUGCAUCUAAAAAAGCGUCUUGAAAUUUUAUUAAGUAUUUAAUAGACCAUAAAAAUAUAUUAGAGACUAAAUUGGAAUUUUUAUGAAUGGCUUUUAUAGAUUUAAAUUUAAAUAAAUUGCAUUAAAGUAUAAGUUUUAGAACUUAAUAUUUUUAUGAAUGGCUUUUAUAGAUUUAAAUUUAAAACAUUUAAAUAUAUAAAAUGUUCUAUCAUAUUUAUUUAAUCUUUAUUAUAUGAAAAUAAAUUUUUAAGAAAGUCUUUGAUGAUUAAUAUUUUUCUCUCUAAUAACUUUAUUUUUAUAAUUUGAUUUUUAGAAAGAAAAACUCAAAUAAAAUUCAAUAACAAUUAUUAGUGGAUAACGAAUAUUUACAAGUUGGAUAACAUGAUAUACAUACAUGUCUCAUCAAUGAUUAAAAUAUUAGUUUAACUUGUGGUUGAUUGAAUCAAAAUAUUCAAUGUUAUUUUUGAGUUUGAUGUGAAUAAAAGUAUAUAAUGAAUUUGACGAACCAAGUUUAAUUGAAAUUAAUAAAAAAUAAUUUGAACAAAUUAUAGUUUGAAACAAUUAUUUGAAUUGGUUAAAAGUUAUAUUAUUAAAAUGCUUUUCUAAACAUUUUUGUAAAUUAAUUGUUCUUGUUGUCGAGUUUGAUAUUUCCAUUUCAUAUAUUUUUACUUAAAUGAAGAAUUUUGGCUUGGGCAAAUAUAGAACAUAUGCAAACCUUUCUCUCUAUCCUAUUUUCACUCUAUUCUAUUUACACUCUAGUCUCAAAAUCAACUGUGUUCUCAAUUCUAUUUGUUCAAGUGAAAAUAACUAUGUAAUUUAAUGUUACUUUUGCUUAAAUUUUUCACUCGAGAAAAUCUUCAUUCAAGCUAACCUGUUGAAGCUAAAGCUAAAAAAUAUUGAAAUAAUUUUGUGUUAUUUAUUGUUCUCUUGUCUAUUUAAUGAAUUGUUGAGUAUAAUUAUAAAUGUAAAAUAGUAGUUCGUAUAAUUAAUUAUUUGUAAGUUUGUUUAAGUGAAUAAUGUUGUAUGUUAUUUAAAAUUAAUUGAAUUAAAUGAAUUUUGGAGUCAAACAUAUAGAUGAUGUGUGAACAAUUAUUUAAAUUAUAUAUUAAGUAUUGAGACGUAUGAUAUGACGCAAAAUAGAUCUAGAUGAUCAAAAUCACAUAAAGUGAUAUAUAAGAUAUUGAGAAGCUAAGAGGAAAGUUCUUGACAUUAUUAUAUGUGUAAAUGUACAUACUUGCAUUAUAAUAAACAUAAAACCUAAAGAUUUUUUGGUUCGCUUGUAAAUGCAAGCUUUAGAUUGGAUUAAAUAUUAAUAUCUAAUAUAUAGGACAUAUUUGAUAUUUUUCUUUGUGAAAUAUCUUUAAUGUAUAAAUUUAUAUAUGGUCUAUGUACAUGUGUGCGUUAUUUACGUUUCAAAUUAUAAUCACAAACACCACACGAUAAACAACAAAUUAGCGUUUAGCAUAAAUUUUUUUAGCAUAAAUUUGGCUACCACAAUUUACUUUAUUCACUAAAUAACACAAAACCAAUACGAUUUGGUUAUGUGGUUAUAUAUAAUCUUGUAAAGUCUGAGUAUUUCGCUUUUUAAAGUUAAAAAAAGAGGUUUAAUUAAGUUUUGAAUUUAUGAUAAAUUUAAUAACUCAAAUAAAUUUUUAUGCAAAUAUGAAAUUAAAAAAAUCUUAAAAAAUUUUGAUAAAAAAAAUAACAUUAAGAUUGACUACAAAAUAUUAUCAAUAUUUAUAGUAUUUUUAAUUCUAUUGUUUGAAUAUAUUUUAAAUUUGAUGAUAAUCAAAAUACUUUAUUUUUAAAAAAAUCAUUAAAUUUGAAUCUAUCCAACAAAACAUUGAAAAAAAAUAAAAUAAUUUAAAAUAAAAUCAAUUCAAAUUUAACAUAUUAAUUUAAAUAUUUAAAAUUUAUGAAAUUUUUAUCCAAACACAAGAUUUUUUUUUUCAGAUUAAACUAUGUCCGAAGUGUUUCUAAAAUCCUAUACAAAUCGUCUAUUUGUCUUGAAAACAUUACAUUAUUUAUCCAUUCUUUUUAUGAAACAUCAUUAAAAUAACGAAUGAAAGAAUAAUUUGAGAAAAUAUCAAGGGAGUGUCAUUACUCAUCUAUUUAUUAUUUAAACAAAUCGAAAAAAGAAAGUUUAAAAAUUGACACGGUUGACCCAACACAAAAAUAAAUUUCACUUAAAAAUAUCUGCUGCAAAUGAACAACAAAAGGCAAAACUCACUCAGUAUCCAAAACUUUAAAGAAACUUUUUGUAAGUGUAUCAGAAGAGUAAAUAAAAUGACACCUGAAAUAAAUGAUAAAUGUAAUAAACUACAUACACUCAUCAGGUAUUAUACAUCAUAAUUUAUCAUCAUAUUGAAGCCUUCAAAUGCACUCAACGUUUUAUAAUACAUUCUGUUUUACUAUUAUUAAAAUAUCACGUUAUUGUUUUAUUAGUUUGGCCGUUCGUUGUAAUAGGAUUUAAUUUAUUAUUUAACCUUUUUUAUCCAGAUAAAUAUAAUAUACAUUAUUUAUUUAUUUACAAAUCUCAUCCCUCUCGAAUUUAUGAUCAAUAGUAAAGAAUUCAAAUAUCUAUUAAUUUAAUUAAGGUACAUUGUCAAAGUUUUAUGGAAAGAAUAACGUGCCAAAAACUUUAUAUAUCAAAUAAGCUUGAAAUUUUUUUCACACUCUUUGAGAAGGUAGACAUGAUGUAGAUUGAUUAAAGUUUCAUCUAUUUUGAUUCAAUAAAUAUAAAUAUUUUCCAAAUCAAUUGGUAAAUUUUAUUUUUCUUAUUUUCAAUAAUUAUUUUUAAAAUAUUAUGAAAUAAGUGAAUUUUUUUUAAUAAUUUAUGGCGUUACACUUGUUAUAAAUCUUAUUUUUCUUUUAUUAUUGUUUCGAGUUUGUUUAUUCUUGGUCGAACUCUUGAUUUUGCACGUUCUAAAGUUUUUUCUUCCUACACCUACAUUUAUUCUUCUUGCACCCUAUAGAAUUUGGUGAAAUGUAAGUUUUGUCCUCUCAUUCUUCCUCUAUACCCAAUUUUCUGUGUCCAGUCCCUAUACCCAGCGGCGGCGAGUUAGGUGCCGAGGUCACUAUUGAAGAUGGCGGCGUUGGUUGUGAUGUGGGAGGAAAUAGAAGUGGAAACGAAAACCACUCUUGCGACUGCUGAAAUAAAGUAUUACAAAAGGACAAUGAUACAAUUGGAAGUCCCUAUAGAGAAGACAUAAGACACUCAUUGAAGAAAGGAAAAAAAAUGGUUUCUGUAAUUUUGAAGAAAAAAUGAGAUGCAUUUGAUCACUGAGUUACAUAAGAGAACAAAUAGUUUUUUUCAUUUAUCAUAACACUUGUUUUGUCUGUUUUACGAAGAACAAGCUCUUACACAACAAAUAAGAUAGCAAACACACAACAAAAUAGAACAAUCGAAAUUUAGAAACUAAAUUGAAACUGUAUGAUGAGUGGUACUGGUUGAUGGGUUGGGUGCACAUUAAGUUCAUUUAGGACCAAGCUACCUUAUUGAAGCAUAAACUACUAGAAAAAACAGAAGACAUUAACCUUAAUAAUAAUGAACAACGAAAAUCCUCACGAAGGAUUUGUAGCAGCUAUACGAUUGAGCUCAUAUUGACUACACAGAACUGACCAUUUAUGAGCCACCUCCAACAUUUCAGAUUCGUCUUUCCUUGCAUUUUCAAGCUUCGUUUUGUAUUCUACAGUUUCCGCAAUGCAUUUAUUUUUUUCGUCCUCCAGGGAUGAUAAGGAAACCUCACAAACUCUUAUUUCUUCCUUCAACCUAAUGAUUUGUUCCUUCAAAACUACUUCCUUCCGUUGAAGUUCAUCAUAGAAAUUCUUUUUAAUAGUCACCUCAUUCGCACGAGCUUCAAGUUCUGCCAAUUUGUCAAUGGUGGCAAAGCCUUGCUUAAAGGAGCAUAUAAUGCUUGGGAAGUGUCGGUGCAUAGUGUCUAUAAUAUGUUUGAGUCCAUCUGAUACUUUGACAUCUUUGAAAGGAAGGUUGGAUAGGAAAUUAAGAGCAGACAAAAGGCAAAGGCUGUUAGUCUCAGAACUAACUAUAUCCUUCAGAGACAUCUUCAGAUACUUUUCUAACUCAACAAGGGUCUUUCCAACUAGGUUAUCUUCACCCUCUUUCCCCACAACAACUGGUGCAAAUAAACUAAUGAUAUCAUUGGCCCCAAAGUCUUCAAUGAUUCUAGGAAGGCCUUCACUUUCUUUAGCAAUGCGUGCCUCAAUUUGGCUGCUCUUAAUUUUACUCUGGGAGAAAUAAGAAGAAAAUAUAACAGAAAAGACGUUAGCAUCAAGUCAUUCUAAUUGCAAAGCAUUGAGUUUCUUAACACAAUUUUGGAUGAUUCAUAUAAGUGCAAGUAGAAGUUAAAAUGUGAUCUUUUUCUUUUUGAGGUCCAACUGAGAGCUGGUGGAUUCGGAAAGAAUUGAUGAAGCUGCCAUAUUGGUAUUCUUUACUAUGGUUUCCUCUACACCAACUUGCUCAAUACUCUGUGCAAGAACAAAUGAUAUGUAGCUUUGGUGUAAUAAGUUGCAGACUUAAUUUCUUUCUAUGACUUAUACUAGCAGGGUUAAGUGCACAUACAUAUUAAUUUAGAAUAAUUUAUGGUAUUUUUGUUUGCCAUUUACCUUAGGAAUUUCAGCAAGUGGUUUUUUCUGCUCCAUCAAACACGGUUCACUAGUCUGUUGUGUGUCCACCAAUGGCUAAACAAAGUAAUAAAAAGAUUUAAAAUCACAAUAGUCUCAUCCAAUACUCAUAAAAAGAUUUAUUAGACUCACAUUUGAGGGUGUUGGCUUUUCAACGGUUUGCGAGUUUGUUAAUGAUGUUGCUAUUCUUGGUAUUUCUGAAGUGAAAACUUCUGCAACAAAUUCCUGCUCUGCUUCUUCAUUUCUCAGAGCCAAAAUGUGGUCAUUAGAAACAAAACCUAUUUCACAUUCUUUAUGAACCAAGUCAGAACCUUCUUCCAAGCUAAUCUUAGGCCCAUCACCUUCUUCAACAACGUCCCCACUACUACACCUGUUUAACAAACUUAAAUUGCUUGCCAGAGAACAAAAAACUCAGAAACUGAUGCUAUCAAUCUUGUAAGAAUUUCAUAUGCCACCAAAUGUAUACUCAUCUAAUAAAAUAGUUAUACCUAUUAGAAUUCUCAUCUAUUUCUCUCCGUGCAAUGUCCGCUCCUAGCUUAGGAUCCCUCGCCACAGCACGUUGACGCAUUUCCUCUACCCAUGAACUCUCAAACCCAAUUUCAAUAGCUUCUUCACAUAGUUUAUGGAACUCUUUUUCUCUUUGAGGAAUAACACUAUCGUCACUUUCCUUCUGAAGGAACAACAACAUAUCUGCCAAAAUUUUCAACCUCCAAGCUUGAAAGCGCUGACUAAACUUCUUGGAAGCAUUCCAGAGAUGAGGAUAUGUUGUUAUUGCCUCCACCAAAAGAGAAAUUUGUGCAUCAUCCAGAUCAACAAAAUGUUUAUAUGUUCCUAAUCUUGUACGGAUAUCUGCAGAAGCUGUAAAAAGUUUGAGAGAGUGAUAUGAAAAUAUAGGAUAGAAAUGAGAAAAUAAGAAAUCAGAAACCUGAAGAAAUGUCAAUGUUGUUAUUAGGAAAAACAUAUAUUCCCUCUUGUUUAUGCAAAAGGUUCAACCCUUCUUCUACUUGGAUUCCUUGGCUUGCCACUAUUCCUGGCUUUCCUUCAUUCAUCUUAUCAUCUUGUUCAACUACCUUGGAAUCAAUGUGAGUUGCAACAGCAUCUCCAAUGCCAAUGUUUUCAACUCCAGUGGAUGAAGAUUUAAUGCUCUCAUUUUCUACGUCAUCAAUCUCCUGUGUAUUAUAAAUUGAAAAAAUACGAUUGAGUGAGUAGUUCUAAAGUUUGAAAAUAGCCUUAUUACUAUUGCUACUUCAAGUGCAUAUUGGUAUGGAAAAUCUCCUUUACGGUUUCCUUUUAGGUGUUAGUUUUAGUAUUACAAAAUCCAUCAGUGAUAAGGUAGAACUUUUUCAAUAAAUGUUGUCAGUUUCAUAUUUACAAUGCAAAAGGUAAGUUUGGUAAGAUAACUUUCAUUGUGACUAUACUUCCUUCUUCUCCAUAUUUAGGUUCUGACCUGUGAUGAAGUGAACUCACUGCUAUCAUUAAUAGUUGAACAGUCGUCUAUGGAUCUUAUUAUGUCUUGAAAUUCCCAACUACGAACUUCAGUGUUUAUGAAAUCUGUAGAAAUAUAUAUAUAUAUAUAUAUAUAUAUAUAUAUAUAUAUAUAUAUGAGGAAAUUAAGGUGAAAAUGAAAUUCAUAACAAAAAGGAAUACAACCUCAAUUUUCCAUGAUGGAUAAUUAUAUCUUUACAAUUAAAAACAAAACAAAAAAAAAGAUAUAAAUGGUUGGGAAUAUUUUUACCACACAUCAAAAUAAAGUGGCGACUUAUUAAAAGACUCGCAGCAAAAAUUAAGUUAAUAAUAUAAUUUAAAAAAAAAAUCUGGUGGUACUCGGUUGGGAAUUGGAAACCAUGCCAAUAUAUACGUAUGCAAGACUUAUUUCAAAACAUUUAGUUAAUAUAACAAUUAUUUGAUAUUUCUUGACAUCAUAAAAAAAUUAAAAAUAAUAAAUUUUAAUAGUACACUAGGAUAGAUUAAAUUACAUAGAUAACUAAAUUGUAAAGUGCAAACAAAAUGUGAAAAUAACUAAAAUUCUUAAAAUAAUUUGAGUAUAAUAAAAUAUUUCCAUUGUUGAAUAAAAGUGAGAUAAAAUUACAUUUAAUUUGAAACUCAUAAACUUCCUUUUUGAGAGUGUAUGAGUUAAGACCAACAUUUAUGUAGAAAAGAAUUAGAUAGCAGAGUUACCUCAUUUCUAUACUCUAAUAGUUUAAGAUUAAUUUAAGAGUUUGAACAUUUGAAGACUUUAUAUAGUAUUCACCUUUGUGAGGAAAAUCUUCAAGGAGCUUCUGAAGAGUAGUUGUUGAAGUGAAAGAGAGUUUUGGACAUUUGUAGACAACGCGAUUCUUUAAAUUAUGCAAUUCGAUCUCUUGACUGAAGUUUGAAAGAUGCAUAAAUAUUAAAAGUUUGAGUCUCGGAAACUCAACUUUAAUCUUUCCUUGUUUACAUCCAACAAGCUCUUCUAGUUCAUUGGCUCCAUUUAUGGCCAGAAGAUGAAGAUUGGGAAGCUCAUUAGAAGCAGAUCCAGAGAAUAAUCUUUUCAACUUGUGACAAUCAUCAACAUGCAAUGCUUCUAGUUUUGGGAAGCAUGGUUGAGGAGAAUGAAUAUUCGACAAAUUUUUAUCCCAUUCAAUGAUUUGUCUUAAUUCUUUGCAUUUACUUAUCUUCAAAAGCUUCAAAUUUGGUAAGCAUCUUAAAACAGACUUUGGAAAGACUACUUCCAAUUUCGCACAUUCAAUUAUUUCUAGUUCUUCAAGAUUUGGGAACGCAAAAUAAUUCUUUGAAGCUUCUUUAUCACAUCCAAUAAUCUCCUCUACUUCAGAGCCCCUAUUUAUGGAAAGAAGAUUGGACCCAUCUUCUUCAAUGAUCUGCUUCAAUUCCAUGCAUUGUGAUAUGGUUAGCCACUUCAACUCUGGUAAGCAUCUUACAACAGAUUUUGGAAAGAUUACUUCCAACUUUCCACAAUGCCUUAUUUCUAAUGUGGUAAGAUGUUGGAGAGUAAGUGAAUUGUUGGGACCCACCCAAAUAUAAGUCAUUUGAGGUAGAAAUUUUAACACCAAGUACUCUAACCUUAAACUCACUUGUUGGCCAAUCAUUUCAUGUUCAUUAAGACAAAAAAUACCUUCUGCAUCAGAGUGCUUUAUGUUUAGAGUUUCCAAAGUGAGGAGAUGGUUCUGAAUCCCUUUCCGAUCCUGUAGGACAUUAAGAGGAAAUGGAUAGAAACAUCUGUAACACUUAAACUCCUUCAAAGACGGGCACGUCAUAGUGAGAGUGUUGGUAGAACAAAGGCUAACAAACUUUGGUAGAUUACGAAGAGAGAGUAUUUCCAAUGCUGAGAAUUGAAUAUGAAUCUCCUUAUAAUCCUUAUUAGCUACGUCAUAUUGCCCAAACAUAUAUUUCAAUUCGGAACAGCCAUACACUGAGAGUUCUUUUAAGUUAGGAAAGAUAGCUUUCAUGUUCUCUUUGCCAUAUUCAUCAUCAGUGUCUAUUUCAUUCAAUUCUCCAACAAAAGAAACAGGGAAUAUACUCUCCAAUAAGUCACAAUCACUGAUACGUAGCUUUUUCAAACUUUGGAAGAUUGAAAUAUCAGUCUGACAAUCAUGCUCAUCCUCAAUAAUGCUUUCCUCCUGAUUUCUAUUGACCCUUUCGUGAGUUACUACAUCUUUCAAACUCUCGCAGCCUUCUAUGAAUAAUUCUUCCAAAGAAGUCAAGGUCUUAGCUAUAAAUGCUGUAAAAAUUGAGCCUAACUUUCCACACCAUGUUAUCUUAAGACUUGUAAGGCUGGAUAGAGUUCCUGAAAAGCAAUUAUAAAUUAAAAAACUAUUGGUUUCUAGGAACUAAAGCCACAAUCUAGAGAGUCGAGUUAUCGGUUAAUAAUGAUGAAAAUAAUCGUAAAGAAAGUUUCCUUUAAAUAAUUUUAAACUUAAGAAACAAUUUCACAUGCAAAUAUAAUUGUCUUUAAUUUUAAAUGAGACCGUGUAUUAACAAGUUUAAGUAAAAGUAGAUUAGUAUUGUCUCGAGUUUCAAUCUUACUAAUGGAAAAUAACAUCAUGACGAAACAAUAUAUGAUUAUUAUGCUUAAAUUUUUCAUAUAUAGUAACAGAUUUACAAUGUUUGUGUAACUUGUAAAUAAGUUGGAACCUACAUGUGUCAUCAUUUAAGCAAUACUAUGUAAACUUACUAAUACACGCUAUGUUAUAUAAAUGUGGAUGCUUACCUUCCUCAACGAUUUCAUCAAGUUCUUCUUUUCUAUCCUGCUCUGUUAAUGGAACAAUAUCUCCAAUUAUUUGUUCUAGCUUGUCACAUUCGCUUAUAUCGAGAUCUUUCAAUUGAGUUAAGCCUCCUACAAUGUUGGUUGAGAAUAUAUAUUUUAGUUCUGGACAGCUAUAUACCUCUACUUCCUGAAGAUUUUGGAAGAUUUGUACAGGAUGUCCAUUGGUGAAUUCAUCUUCACUUUUCUCUGCUUUCUCAUCAUCUUCUAAUAUAUGCUUCAGUUCAUCACAUCUUGAUAUUUUUAAUAUUUUCAAUUUUACCAAUCUUCGAGCAACAACAUAUCUGAAGAGAAAUGUCAGUCGUGGACAAUCACUUAAAUACAGCUCCUCUAAGUUCUCAAAAGACCCAUUGGCAGGAAGAAAACAAUUCCAUAUAACUCUUAGAUUUCUCAUGUUCACGAUUCCCAGCUUAUGCAACUUGGAGAAGAGAAUUACCACCUCACUCGAGCGACUACCAGUGUCAAUCAAACAUUCUAACUCUUCAGAAUCACGUAUCUCCAACGUAUUCAACUCAUUCAAAUCUCCUCCUUCAAUUUGAAAUAUAUCAGGGAUCAUAUUUUUUGCACCUCCAUGAAUAUUUCCUACAAAUAAAUCCUUUGCUUUUUUUGCCAAAUCCUUUAUUACCUUAUUUGAUAUGUCAAAAUGGUUAAGUAAUAAAGUUCUGCCAUGAAUGUAAAUAUCUCCAUAAUAAAAAUGGCCAAAUUUAUGCGACCCUAACACAAUUGCAUACCUUUGCAGUGUUUCGGGAACGCUAAACGUCUUAAAGAAUUCAAUAUUGUCUUCACUGUUAGCAUCCCGCCAUUUUCCUUCAAUAUCAAUAAUGUACAACUCUUCCAAAAGUGGGAUUCUCUUCAUCACUUCAAAAUUCUUCACUUUAAUGUCACAAUUCUUCAACCCCAACAAUUUUAGUGUAAUUGCAACAUCAGUUUGUAAUUCAGGGAAUGAAGGUAGUAAACAACGAGUUAACGAGAGACUUUGAAGAUUUUUCAUAUCGCUUAAAAAUGAGAAGUCGCUCAAUUCACAAUUGAAAAUUAUUAGAUCUCGAAGAUUUGUUAAUGUUUUCAAAGAUAUUGUUGACAAUCGUCUUUCUUCAAAGUCAUUGUUGACAAGAAUAAAAACUUUGAGCCUUCCCAUUCUUUUGAAAAUCCCAUCAAAUUCUUUCAUCUUUGUCUGUAAGAAUAGAAACUCAAGAUUGGAGCAAUCCAAAUCAUUUGGAAUUUCGCACACCAUAGAUAUCUUACAGAAUUUUGUUCCACUGUAACAUCUUUUUCCACUUCACACUUUAUCAUCUUAUUCUCAUUUUGUGCUAUGAUGUGGGCCACAUCUCGAACUAAGUCAUGCAUUUUGACAUAUUCAUCAUCUGCAUCCAACAAACAACAACUAACAAGCUUAAAUUUAGCGGCAAUCACUUCACACCUUGCCUCUUCAUAUGAGUGAGCUUCUCCAACUACACCUAAGCCUAUUGCACAUCUUGUUAAAAGUUCAACUUGAAUUUCAUAAUCUUCAGGAAACACAGAGCACAACAGCAAAAGUGAUUUAGCUUCUUCAGUAUCUAAAUUAUCAUAGCUCAGCUGUAGACACUUGUAGGGAUCAAUCAAACCUCUUUCAAUAUUUAUUGGCUUCGACCGUCUUAAUUUAUUUAAUGCAACACUCCAUACAGUCUCGGCUUUUCCCUUCAAACUACAAGCAACAGCUGCAAUGGCAACAGGCAAUCCUUUACAUUCAUUGGAAAUUAAUCUUCCCAUUUCCUUUAAGGUAUCAGAGGUGGCUUCUGUUAUAAUUGCUUUAUUUUGAAAAAGAGUUCAUGCUUCAUCAUCCGUUAAAAUUGGCAAGUAAAUCUUUCUUUGACAAUCCAUUAAAGUACAAACUUCUUCUAAUCGAGUGGUAAUGAGAAUCUUGCAGCCUUUAUGGUGUUCAGAAGGAGGAAUCCCAAUACGACCAAAGUCAAGCUUCUCCCACACAUCAUCUAGAAUUAAAAGAGCACUUUUUUCUUCGGUUAAAAUUGAGCACAAUCUUUGAGCUCUCUGCAUUUCUUCGGUUUCUGGAAUUACAUGUUGUAGUGAACUUGCUAUUUUUUCUUGAAUCCUUCGAACUUCCACUGAACUAGAAACAGGUACAAAAAGAACUUUUUCAAAAAGAUGGUCUGCUUCUACUAAUUUCAUAACCUCCAUUGCUAAUGUGGUUUUACCACAACCCCCCAUUCCAUACAACCCAAUCAUGGAAACAUCAUUAUUUUUCACUGCAUCCAGUAGUUGCUCAUAUGCAGAUUGUCUACUCUCAAAAUUCAUGCAUUUUUCUGAAAGAAUGUCAAGGGUGCCUGAAGGUAGCGUAGCGAUGCGGUCAAAUGACACAUAUUUUUUACCUUCAUCAAUGAACUUCUCAAGGUCAAAAAUUUUAUUUUCUAGCUUUUUUCCUAAUCGGUAUCGCCAAAUCCAAUUUGGACAAUACCCAAAGCAGCACAUUUUUUUUGUUCUUGCCUCUUCUAGCAACUUAUUCACUUUACCUAUGUUACUCAUAGCAUCUUGCAGCCACUUGUUAACAACUCCACUUGUCUCUUUAGUUUUUCUCUUGGCAUCUUCAACGGAUUUUUGGACAUCAUCUUUUGUUACAAUCAAAUCGUCCUCUUCUUGCUCAAGUUUUCUUACAACAUUGUUAAAGGAGCGAAGAUAACGCAAUUGAUUUAAUACCCCACACACUAAAUCUCUUGAAACAGAAGAUGCAAAGCCCACAAGGUAGUCCAUCAAUUUGUUCCACCAAAUGCAACUUUCUUUAACCUCAACAACAAAGGAUGUAUUAGAUAAAAAUAUUUACUUUUAAUAACAGUAUGUUUUGAUAAAGUUUUAACCUCCGUCCAACAAAAAAAUGAAUCAUAUCCAAACGUGUAUUUAAUGACACACAAGUAUGUAAAUCAAAAUAUUUCUUAAGUCAAAAAAAAAAGUAUAGGAGUACAAAAUAUAGUUUGAUCAAAACAUGCACUAUAUACAAAAUUAACAUUAUAUAUUUUUUGUAAGUUUAAUUUUGUUGAUAUUUGUUUAUAUUUUCUGAAACACUUUUAAAUCGUAUCAAAUUUAGAAAAAAAUUGUAAAUAGGAAAUGAACAAAAAAUAUGUAAUUCUGUAAAAUGUUAAUUGUUAUAGAGAAUUCUAUAAAUCAAGUUAUUAUAUGUAUGAAGAGAUUGGUGACCUAGUGAGUAAGAAGAAUUCCACACUUACGCCCAAAACCACUUUAAAAACAUUUCGUUAUACAAAACCAUACUUUGGUUAUACCUUGCGAGCUGGGUAUUUUUGGCCAACGCUGGAGCAAGACUGUAAAAUGUUCUUUCAAAAAUGUAAAUGUUGUUAAGAGCACGUCAACAACAUCAGUAUACGAGCUGAACAACAUUUUUGCCUCGUGGUCGUCCGUCUAGUGGGGAAUGGACAUUUUCAGUCCCUUCCUGGUCAAUAGAGCACAUAACAAAUUUCUCUUAGUGUCUAUCAACUAUUUCACCAAGUAGGUAGAAGUUGAACCCUUGGCUACCAUUACUACCCAACAUGUUCAAAAAUUUGUUUGGAAGAUCAUAUGUUGGUUCGACCUACCACGUACGGUGGAAAUGGAUAAUGGUCGACGAUUUCUUGAUAAGAAGCUAGUCGAGUUCUAUAAAAACUUAGGCAUCAAGCACUUCAUCAGCUCAAUCAAACAUACUCAAACAAAUGGCCAGGUCAAAGCUGUAAAUAAGACAAUUGUAGCCGAGCUAAAGCGGCGGCUGGGGAGCCAAGGGCAGAUCAGUGGACGAAUUGCGAGAAUUCCUUUGGGGUACCAUUGCUCCCCACAUGAAACCAUUGGAGAAACCCCCCUUUAACCUAAUGUAUGGUACUGAUGUCAUGCUACCAAUCGAAGUAGGAGAACCGUCUGCCCAAAAGAAACUGGCAAAAUCUGAACUUGAACGAAGAAUAUAUCCGAGCAAAGCUAGACACUUUGCCAAAAGGUAUAAUAUGUCGGAAAACUUGCGAGGCCAGAAGAAACUGUGCUUACGGGAAGCUCACGGGAAAUUGGGAAGGCCUAUUCAUGGGUCACUGAAGAUUUAAAGAACGGCGAGUGCCGGCUCGAACACCCAAAUGACAAAGCAAUACCAAACACAUGGGAUGCGUCACAUCUCAAGUUUUACUUUAGUUAAAAAUCCUUGUAAUAUUUUCUGAUAGUGAAUAAAAUCAGGAGGAUGCAGAGCCGAUAAUCUGUGUACACCCAACCUAUGAAACAUUCUAAGUGAACUCCUUGAGCUGAUUGAUCGACAUGGAAUGUUCCAGGUAAACUCUUGUUGUAUCAUCAUUCAUCCAACCUAAGAAACAUUUCAAGUAAACUCUUAGAGCUGGCCGAUUGGUUAGGAACGUUCCAAGUAAACUCUCAAGUCAUUCAUCCAACCUUGGGAAUGUUCCGAGUGAACUCUUAAAGUUGACGAAUCGGCAAGGAAUGUUCCAAGUAAACUCUCAUCGUAUCAUCAUUCAUCAACCUUAAAGGAUGUUCCAAGUAAACCCCCUAGAGAUGACCGAUCGAAAUCAAGUGUUCCUUAAGAAGUUAUAAAAGUGAAAAAAAACAUGAACAUUAUCAUUUAAUUCCGACUUCAAAGUUCAAGAAAGUUAGAAAGAUAUUAACAUGCUACAUGACGGAACGUCGUAUUUAAAGUGCAUAAAAAGUUGUUAUAAAGUACAAAUAAAGCAUUAAGCCUUGAAGGCAACAAAGCAACAAUUCCAUUAAAAGUAUGUGUGAGGUAUACAAAAGAGGCUGAGCAGGAAACAAGGUGGCUUAAUAUCAAAAGCCUUGUUUCUCGAACGGCCCAUUUAUAAUUUAAGUUGUAAAAAAUUAAAAUAAAAAACCCCAAUGCCUAGGAAGGUCCUUCACUUUUCCCUAUCCUCUUCUCUCUCCCUUGCAUCUUCAACAAUAACCUCUAUAUGUUGAGGUUCUUUUGGAACGAUCGAAAGUGCUUCAUUGGCUUGAGCGAAAGGAUCGGGAAUGUCCACAAGCUACACAUCGAUCACUAUCUUAAUGAUGUCAUAACCUUCAUAACAGGUCAAGACGUCAAAAAAGUGAGCACACUACAUGAUUCCCUUGUGGAAGCCAUUGAUGUGUUCGUUGUACACUUCGCCUUCAAAAGAUUCAUUUUCCUUAGUCAACUUGGCCCUCUCUGCUAGAAGAUCAUCCCGCUCGGCCAGCAGAUCCUUACACUGCCCGCCCGUCCAUUGAAGUUCAAGCUUCAAGUCAUCAUUAGCCUGUAGUAGUUGCAAUUGGAGUUGUGGGCUUCAAUCACAGUGGUCGAGGCCUUUUUCUUAUUCUCUUCCUCGACCUUGUGCACCUCCUCUAAACAACAAUUAAAUUCCUCGUUCGCCUUAAGAGCCUACUCCAGGUCUAGCUAAGCGGCUUGCAACUCUUCGGUUGAAGCAGUGCCCUUAGGGGUAUACCCACCAAGCAUGCCAUGCAAAUACUAGCCCGAAUGUCUAGUUCAUUAGCCAUAUUUGCAGCCUCCUCAGAAGUCAUCCCCUUGAAGAACACCUUCUCUUCGGGAGAUAGAUUGAAGGCCACAUGGUUAGCGAUCUAUACAUUCGAAUCGAGCGACUCGGUAAGAAGAGGCCCUUCUAGCGAACUUAUUUUGCUUCUCUUAUGCGAAGAAUGAUCGUUAAGAGGUUUUGGUCAAACGAUCGGGGUCAAGGGUGUGCAACCUUGGGAUCCUUGACAGUUUGGGUUGGAGCAAUAACCUAGGGAGAGGGGGCGAGAAGAUGUGCCCUCCUAAGCCUUCUUCAACUCUUCCUUUCACCGAGCGACCAUCAUAGAGAAGGCGUUUGACUUUCCCUUAUCCAUGGCAGCCGUAAGAUCUGAAAGAAAAAAGAAAACUUAGAUAAGUUAAAAAUGAUAGUUCUAAGACAUUACAUAACAAAAGGCUUACCAAACACUCUAGUACAUAGAGCGUCUGAGCCAAGAUAAUUGAUAAGCUCAUAGGAGGGGGCCCAACGGGGUAAUUGGUUAAUCAUGUCGAUCGUUUCUAUUUCCGCUAGUGUCAGUGCGGAUUUUUCCCAAGCAGUUAUUCUCUUAGGAUGCUCGGUCCAAUAGAAGGAAAAUUUAGGUUGGCCGUUAUCUAUAAAAAAUCUCAACUGACCAAGCUUUGUUAUUACAACUUCAAUAAAGUUUUCUUAUUCCCCUUAUAAGAUGUAUUGAAAAAGGUAAAAAAGGUCUGAUCCUUCUCUGAAAUAAGAGGCACCCAAUACUUGUUAGGAUGUGGCCUGGUGCGAAAAAAUUACAAAAACAAUGUGGGCAUUGGAGUCGAAUCCAAGGCCUUGCAUACGGUGACAAACGCUUGCAUGAAAGCCACCCACAUUGAGAUGAAGAGUGGUUGGGGCCACAUUCAACUCCCAUAAAACUACCAUGUGGAAGUCAAAGAAUGGAAGUUGAACGACAUGUCAUGAAAAAUAAUGGAGUGUGCGUAGAAAAAGUCAGACGUGUAACCCUCCUUCCCGCGUGGCAAGCACACUUGGUACUCUUGCAAACGAAAAGCUUGAAACACCCUGCAUUUGCGGCAUCCACCACUAGGUUUACUCCAUCCUUGAAAUCCACCAAGGAUGUGCCGAUAUUGAAGUAGGAAACAUAGAGGCCAACCUCAUGAGGAGCCCAACCAUAUCCUGGAACGGGCGAUAACGGGGCGACCGACCCCGUCCAUUCAACUUCCACAUUUAUCUCUAUGGUGGCCCCCACACCCUCUUCGACUGAAGCAACCUCAUUAUUUAUGUACACAGUUGUCCUCCAUCAUCUGAGGACUCUCCCCGCUUAGUUGAUCCUAGAAUAGAGUAACCAACGGACGACGAUGACGACUCUCACACAUCAUUAGCAUAUCCCCGACCUUCCCUCUUGACGGACUCCUUAGAUGAAGAAAGCACCAUGGUUGACAUUAUUAACUUAGAGUAGAGAAGAAGAGAAAAUGUUUGGUGGCAAAGAGUAGGAAAAGUGUAAGUGUGAAAAUGACAACAACCCCACUCCCUAUUUAUAGAAAAAAAAAUAGUUUUUGCAGGCAAAUCUCAGCCACCGAAAUCAACUUGAUCCGACGAUCGACAACAUGUGACCUUCCGUUUCAAGUGGAUGCACCAAUCCCAAGGAUACACGUGUCUCACUCAUAUUCGACGGAACCCACCCUAUCACAGAAUUCUUGGUCGUUUAUCCGACCAUAAUAAACCCCAACGACCCUUUUAAAUGAAAGAAAUGCCCGAGUUUAGGAAGCCUGUACACUGUAUGACCGCGCAAUUAAUCAUGAACCGAGCGGUCAAUAGAGCCUUCAAUGCAACAACGAAAUGAUCGACGAACCGUGAACAAGAUCAACAAAUAAGAAUAAUUAUGUUAACUACUAAGUUAGGUCAAUUAUUGUAAGGGUCAUAAUUGGGCCAACACUAAUUCAAAGCUCAUUCCAAAAGUCUAUAAAUACAUAUUUGAUAUUCAGGUAGUUGGUUACUCUUACUACACAUUUACUGCAGACAAACACUAACUUUAGACAAAGUAUCUUUUAUAGGUAAGACCCGAUCGAACUUAACCUCGAUCCCAUAAAUCAAAAUAGUAUGUAAUUUUAACUAAUACAUAUUUUAAUUUUCAUUAAUAUUAUAAUUAGUGUGUGUGGUAUAUUAUGUAUCACUUAAAGAAGAAUGCUAGUAUACGUUAAUUGUGGUUUGAUUGUUAUGAUUAAAUUAUGCAUUUUAUUACUCAAUGUUUAUGUGAAAUUUCAUUAUGAGGUAUCGGUUCUAAACUAAUGAAUUUUCGUGUAUCAAUUGUUUUAAUGUUUAAUGGGCAUAAUUUCUCUAAUUUGAAUAAACAAAUCAUGUUAUUACUAACCCUAGCGGCUAUGAACAAAAAGCUUUUGGAUAGAUGAAACAAACUUAAUGUUCAUGAUGAUGGCCAUCUCAAAUAAUAUUAAGACGACUCUUCCUAAUAUUGAAAAUGUAAAAGAGUUUAUAGGGUUUGUGGGAGAGCGCCCUACACAAUUGAUAAGUCUCUUGUUGGGACAUUAACAAGUACAUUAGUCACCAUAAAUGGGUCACAUUCUUUGGAUGAGCAUAUUAUUGAAAUGUUAAACAUUAUAGUAAGACUUAAGGCAUUUGAAAUAGGUAUGAAUGAGAACUUCCUUGUGCAACUUAUUUUGAGCUCAUUAUCAUUUAGGUAGGGGUGGACAAAUCGAACUGAAUUGUAUUGCACUGCUAAAAACUGAACUGAACUGUAAAACAGUUCAGACAAACUGAACUGAACUGUAAAACAGUUCAGACAAACUGAACUGAACUGUUUUUUGUUUUAUCAAACUGAACUGAAAUGAACUAUACUGAAUUAUACUAAAUUACAGUAUGAAUUGAACUGAACUAUUAACUGAAUUGUAAACUACACUAACUGAACUAUUAACUGAACUGUAAACUGCACUAACUGAACUAAACUAUUAACUAAAUUGUAAAUUACACUAACUGAACUAUUAACUAAAUUGUAAACUACACUAAUUUUAACUAAACUACAAUAUAAACUGAANUNAACUAGUAANUAUNCUAAUUUUAAACUGAAUUGUACUAAUUUUUAAACUAAAUAGUAUAACAAUACAUGUUCUUUUCUUUUUAAUUGAAAAUUAUUUUAAUAUUUAUUUUAUUUUAUUCAUAANNNNNNNNNNNNNNNUUAAUUAUUUAUUUAUUUUAUUAAUAGAAAAAAUAUAAAUAUAUGUAUAUAUAUAUAUAUAUAUAUAUUUAUAUAUAUAUAUAUAUAACUUAAAAAAUAUAAAAAUAUAAAUUACAUUUUUUAUUUUUAUUGAUAAAAAUAUAAAUUUUGUGAUAAAAAAGUUGUUUUAAAAAAUUAAUUAUUAUUUUUUUAUGAACAUUUAUUUUUAUUAAUAUUUUAUUAAAUAAAGUUUUCUUGACAAGAUGAAACAAUUGAACUGAAAUUAGAGAAGAUGUAACAGUAGAUACAGUUCUCACAGUUAACUGAACUGUAAUUGUUAUCAGUUCAGUUUUUAAAAACUGAACCAUAAGAUACUAUACUGAACUGUUACUAGAAAUAGAUCAGUUAUUUUUAGUACAAUAUAGUACAUUUAACUCCAGUACAGUACAGAUCAGUUAUUUUUGCCCAGCCCUACAUUUAGGUAUAGGCUAUUUAGUUUAUAUAUAGGAAUUUGGUUUCAUAAUCUAAAAUUGAUGUUACUAUAUUUUAAUUUGGUUAAUGGAUCUGUUAACUUCUUUAAGCACAAUCAUCUCAUUGGUAGUGUAAUUUUUUUAUGAUACUUUAGAUAAGAUGAAUUUGAAUGGUUUAUAUUUUGAAGUAUGUUAAGUAAUUCUUCUUUAACCAUGCUUUUAUGGAUGCAAGCUUUGAAAAAUAGUCAUAGAUGCAUGCUUUGAAAAAUAACCAUGUAUUUGAUAAACAAGAUUUCAAGUAAAGUUAUUCUUAACAUACCUCAAUUGUGAAUUGAUAGGACAACCAAUAUAAGACACCCGAACGUUUGGGUGUCAAACAGAAAUUAUGAUUUAAAAUCUGCAAGAACAGAAGCUAGAUGUAAGAAUAAUCAAUAGAUCUUUCAUUGAUUACCCAAAAAGAAAAUAAUCAAAGGGGUAUUAGUAGGAAAAUUGUUGAAACUAAAAAUGAAAGGUUCAUUGAAAAUGAUGAAAUCGAUGAGAGUUUGAUUCCAGGGCAUGUGGAAAUUAAAGAAGUUAUAUAUACUGAUAUUUUUAAUCAUAAAACAUAAGAUUUGUAUUUAUAAUGUUAGAAUGAUAUUAAAGUAAUCUAGAAAUGUAAUAUUGGAAAAAAGAAAGUUGAGAAAUGUAUAGGAAACAAAAAAUCGCAUGCGUACAUAUACAAGUUUACUGGUGCUUUCACUCAAAUAUACCUCAUGCAAAUUAACAACAAAAGAGAAAACUCAUUGGGUAUCCAAAACUUUAAACAUGAAAACCUUUUGUAAGUUUGUAUGUGCUAAUUAUUAUAAAAAGAAGGAAGACGGGUAAAAUAUAACGACACCUGGUAUAAAUAUAAAUACAUUUAAACUAAUGAUUAUUUAAAAAAAAUCAAAUCUUAGUAUUUUUUUAACUAUAAUUUUAUUACAUUAUAUAUCUAUGUGAAUUUUGUCCGUAUCUAGGUAUAUGUGUUAUGAUUUUACGAUUUUCGGAUGACCUGUUAUAUAUUAAUAUUGUUAAAUUAAAAUGAUUUUCUCACUUGGACUCGUGCUUGGAAAUGACAAUUUAAUAGCUUUUCUAAAAGUAAAUAGAAUAGUCAAUUUGAUGUAUCUGAUUGAAAAUAAAUCAUGUGAUUAGUAUGUUAAUUCUACAAAAUGAAAUAAUUAUUACCACAAAAACUUGUAAGAACCAAUAAAGUGAUUUCUAAGAUACCUCUUUAAUUGUAGAUUGAUAUAAGACUUCUGGAUGUUCGGAGUUGUCAUACAGAAAUUAGGGUUUAAAAUCUGCAAAAACAAAAACUUGAGCUAAAAAUAAUUAAUAGAUGUUUCAAUGGUUAGCCAAAAAGAAAAUAAUCAAAGGGGUAUAAGUUUUGUUGUCUUAAUCAUAGUAAGAGAAUUGUUGAAACUAAAAAUGUAAGAUUUGAGAUAUUUACAGGAAACAAAAGAUGGAAAGCUUAGUAAAGAAAUUAUACGAUUUAGCCAAAUCGAUUUAAAAUUAGUAAGAAGAUUAAUUUUUUUUAUAUUUUAAUUAUACCAUAAUAAAUAAUAUAUGUAAAUGAUAUAUUUGAGCGAGCAUUAAUUUUUUAUAUUUUAACUAAAACACUUUUAAGAUAAAUGAUAUAUGUAAUACAGUAGAGGGUAUAACAAUGAUUACAGCAGAUAAUAGGUUAUUUUAGUAAUGGACAAUGAUAUUUUGACAACUCUUUUUUAACAACUUUUUUACAACAGGACACGUGUCAUCAUUUUAUUGGUCUGUUUGAAUUUAUGUUUAAAAAAAUAUUUGAAACGGACCAAUCAUAAACUACCAUGUAUGCGUUGUCAAAAAGUUGUCAAAAAAAAGUUGUUAAAGAGACUUUUUCCUUUUAGUAAUAUAGAAUUUAUUAAAUUUUAUAAUGAGGGAAGUGAAAAUGAGGAAAGAUAGAGAAGUUUACAUUACCUGGUUGAAGUGAGAGAUAGGAGAAUUGGUGAGUUAGUGUAGAAAUAGAAAGAGAAAGAGAUGAUAUGUAUACAGAGCUUCUCCAUUGCAAAGAAAAGGAUUAGAAUUUCUUGAUAGCUAGAGAGAGAUGAAAGUUAUAUGCAUUGCUUGAAUCACUCUAACACGCAACACAAAAGAAUAAAAAACCAGACUUUCUCAACACUCUAACAACCAUAUAUACCUUUUUCUUUAAUACACCUAACAAUUGCUUCUUUUCUUUUUAACCAAGGUAAGUAAACAGAGAUUAAAAUUCAUCUCUCGGAAGCAAAAUUUUCAACUUAAAGUGUGACAUGUGCUAUUUGAGAAAAAUAAAAUGGAAAUGGGUAUAGAGGAGAGAGAUUUUAUGGAAAACGUAUUAUUUCUGGAAACAAUUUGUUAAUUGAAGUUUGAUUUCGUUUAAUAAUUAUACAAAUAAAACUUCAUGUAUUAGAUUUAUUAUAAAAUGUAACGUCCAAAAAAACAAAGGAUCUUGGAUAUCUAUUAUUACACAUCCUUUUGCAAUCCUUAUUCUAUAAUCAACUCUAGAGUCUACACCGUCUGUUCUUGUAUCCAAAACAAUCUUAGCAUAUUAUCACAUCAACAAUAAAGGUAACCUAUUAAAUAACUAUUUUAUUGGCUCAACGAAAGAAUAGAAGAUAAGUUUGUGGUUGUUGUUGCAUAUAACUCUUAUUUUAGAUUAUAACUUGUAUCUUGAACAAACCUUAACUUUUACAAUCACAACCAUUUAAUUUAAAAGAUUUAUUUUAUUAUCAUAAAAGAUAAAAUGUUUAUCAAUUUGAUUCAUAUUUGGAUUGUUUCUUACAUUUUGACUCAUUAAUAUGCUUAAUUUUAUGACAUUAUAGACGGAUCAUUAACUUCGUACAUAAAAGAGUAAAUUAUAUAUAUUUUGAGAAUAAAAAAACUCAUUACGAAUGAACAAUAGAUAUGUUAUAAGUAAAACGAGAGAAUAGUAAUUUUAAAUUUUAACUGUUGUAAAAUAUUAUUAUUUUAUUGUAAUUGAAAGUUGUGCAAUGUUAAUAUUUUAUUAAUUAAAAACAGUUAAAUUUUUAAGUGCUGAAACAGUCAAAUUUUAAGGGUUGAACUUAUUUAUUGUUUUUUUAAUUUCUUUUAUUUAUUUUAUUAUUUCCUAGCUCUAUAAAUAGAGAGUUCUUCCCCAUUCCAAGAGAGAUUAUGUUGAGUCUUUCUCUUCCUCUUAGUUUCAUUUUUUUUUCUAUCCUGGUAUAAACUCUUUAUAGAGUUUCUUGCUAGUUCUGUGAUUCUCGAAUACAUUUCGAGAAGUUCUUGUUGUAUCCUGGGGGACUUGCACAACACGCCGCGGAUAAGUCCUUAAAGACAGUGAUCUACACGCCUCAGGAUAUGCGGUUCGAGAUUUUGGUCAGUAUUUUUUACUACAAUCUUAAGUACUUAAAUUUCAAUCUCGUUACUGUGAAGUCAAAAAGGUAUGAAAAGUUAAUCCUAUCUUAUUAUUGAUAAUUGCAAUUGUUAAUUUUUUAAAAUGCUUUGAAUGAUGGUAUGAUGUUUGUGCUCUAAUUGGAUGAUUUAUGAUGUUACCUUUUUUUUUAUUUCUAAACGAAUUUGGGAAUGGAAAAUUUUGAACAGACAUAUCAGUAACAUACAUUUAAGAUUGNCAUCCAAUUAAAAUUAUGAAUAGGUUUUAAAUUUGAAAAGAGAAAAUUGGAANAAUUAUAAUUAUAAUUAUAAUUAGGAAUAGAGUAAGAAUUUUGAUUUCCCGUUAAUUAAAAAAUAAUAAUUUGGGAUUGUUAAUUUCUUUUGUAAGUGGUAAAUUUUAAUUAUUUUCCCAAUUUUAAUUAGGGAAUUUAUUUAAACCAUUUUAAUCUUCAUUACUCUAGUAAAAUCCCAAAUUAUUUUUUAUAUCAGAUUCUAUCAAUUUAAAUAAAAUUAAAAUUUUUUUGAAUAUCUUUUAUGAUCAUGGAAAGUUACCUUUUGGUGAUUAAUUUAAUUCAAUGCUUAAUAUCAUGAUUAAAUAUUUCUGAUAUGAUAGGAUGAUUUUUGAAUUUUGGAUGAUAUCUUUAAUUAUUAAUAAAUGACAUUGAUUAUAUUAAUAAUGUUAAUAUCCAUUUGGAUUUUUAAACCAUUGAAUUCUAUAAUUGAAGCCAUUGAAUUCAUGUAAUUAGGAUUUACGUGAUUGAAUUCAAAUCAAAAUUCGGUAAAUUAUGGUUUCUUUUAGGAUAUAAUAAAGUUAGGGUUUUGUUCAAAUUAAAAAAUAAAAGGGAAAUUACGUUUGAAAGGUGGAGUUGCAGCAUUUCAAGAUAACCUUAGGUUAUGUUCAGAUUAGACUUUGGUGGGUUUGGAAUGUGUUGGUGCUGAUAUUAAAUGGAAUAAUCAUGUUUUUGGUAAACUAGGUGGAGAAGACUUAAGUUAAUUAUUUUUUCAUGAUAAUGAUUAAUGAAAUGGUUGAAUAUUUUUGUCUCUAUUCAAGUCUUGUGAGUAUAGAAAUUAAACAAAAAUGUCGUGGAGUACUGAGUUGUACUAUCAAUAAUAGUAAUAUGAAGAAUGUCAUGGUAAUAUUGUUGGAAUUGUUGUUCUUGCUAUAUUUUGAGGCACAUCUAUUUUUAUGGUCAACUUUUUUUUUUCUGAAGUGAUGUUAGAUUUGCCUUCAACAUAUUAGUUUACUUUAGUUUGGAUAAGUAAUUUUAUAGUAUUGUGAUCAUAUCUUCAUACAUAUAUAUUAUGAUUUGUCGCAUAAAAAAUUUGGAUUCAAUAUUGUGGGACCAUGAUGGGUUCACUCCAUAACAUAUAAUGGAUUGCUAUGGUGCAUGACAUAUAAUAUGUUGUUGUAAUGUUUAGGCAUGGAAUCCAAUGCAAGGUAUCUUAUGAUUUGUUAUAAUGUUAAGUUUGUAGAAAUUUUUUUUUUCAAAGAUUGACACAUGGUAUUGGAUGGAAAGCUAACGUAUGAUUAUACAGUGGCAGUUUUGAGUUAAAUACUCUAAAUCUGAAAAUAGAGAAUAUGUCAUUAUAUAUUUAUAUGAUGAAUGACAUGUUAAUUAUUGAUACAUGCAAUAAGAUAGUCUCUAAAAAUAAGGUUUCUAGAAUCUUAAAUAUAAGUUGCUUCUAGGUGAAGUUUAUGUAAUUUUAGAAGUUGGAAUCAUAAGGAAGGGAGAUAGUAUAUUACUAUUCCAAGAACAAUAUAAUGAGAAACUUCUUAAAGAAGUUUGAGUAUUAUGAUUUCAAACCUAUGAGUAUCCCUUAUGAUCCUAACUCUAAAUUAAUGAAAAAUAGAGGAAAAUUAUUAUCUCAGCCUCAGUAUGCCCAGAUAAUUGGGAGCUUACUACACUUAAUGAGUUUCUAUAGACCCUGAUAUUGCUUAUACAGUAGGUAGACUGAGUAAUUACACUCAAUGUCCAAAUCAAGAACAUAGGGAUGCACUUGUUAGGCUUAUGAGAUACUUAAGAGGUUCAAUGGAUUAUGCCAUUGAAUAUAGUGGAUAACCCAUUAUACUAGAAGGGUAUAGUGAUGCUAACUGGAUCUUUGAUUCACGAGACAAAAUCCACUAGUGGUUAUGUAUUCACACUUCGGGGUGGUGCGAUUACAUGGAGAUCAGCCAGAGAAACAAUUAUUGUGAGAUCAACAAUGGAAUCUGAGUUUGUUUCUCUCGAGAUGACUGAUAAUGAGGCUGAGUGGUUGAAAAACUUCUUAGCGAACAUUCCAUUAGGAAUGAAACCAACCCCGUCGGUAUCGAUACAUUGUGAUUGCCAAUCGGCAAUAACUAUAGCUAAAAACAAGAGUUUGGUGAAACAAUUGCUAAAGAGUGGAAUUGUUUCCAUUGAUUAUGUGAAGUCAGAACGAAAUUUAGCGGAUCCUCUGACAAAACCCUGGGAAGACAAAUGUUAUUAGAAACAUCGAGGGGAAUGAGACUUAAGCCACUUGCAAACAAACAAGUGAUGGUAACCCAACCUUUGUGAUUGGAGAUCCCAUGAAUAAGGUUCAUAUGGGUAAAAACAAGUCACUUGUUAGUUCUGAUAGCACUAAAUUGAUUUUAAUCAAUUAUAUCCCUUCCUAUGGUGUGUGUGAGAAAGUGCUAGAGACUGCAUCAUUGAGAGACUAAACUUUGUUAUUAAAAUUCUAUGUGGUGAAAGAAUUUUAAUUUAAACAAAGUUUUUAAUGAUUUUCAUAUCCUUUAUGGGUGGUGUAUGAUUUGCAGCAUACACUUGAUGAAAUCACCUAUAUGAGUGUCAAGUGGGGCCGCUUGCAUGAGAUCUUGGCAUGAUCUCUAGAGCACUCAUGAAUACUGGGCACGCGCAUGGCCUAGUAAGCGCAACACAGCGAUAAUAGCAAGGAUUAUGGGGGUGUGUUGUGAUUGAUAAACCUCUAACACACGUCAAGUGUCUUUGGUUCAUAUAGCUUGCUACACCAACUACACCGUGUGUUAAGUUUCUUGAUCUAAGACUGGUUCAUAUAGCUUGCUAUACCAGCUCUGAUGCAUUACAUCCUAUGAGACCCAGGAUAAAAGGUUUCUUUUCUUUUCUUUCAACUUUCUCUUGCAAUAAGUGGGGGAUUGUUGUAAAAUAUUAUUAUUUUAUUGCAAUUGAAAGUUGUGCAACGUUAAUAUUUUAUUAAUUAACAACAGUCAAAUUUUUAAGUGCUAAAAUAGUCAAAUUUUAAGGGUUGAAACAGUCAACUUAUUUAUUGUUUUUUUAAUUUCUUUUAUUAUUUUCUAGCUCUAUAAAUAGAGAUCUCUUCCCCAUUCCAAGAGAGAUUAUGUUGAGUCUUUCUCUUCUUCUUAGUUUCAUUUUUUUUCUAUCUUGGUAUAAACUCUUUAUAGAGUUUCUUGCUAGUUCUGUGAUCCUCGAAUACAUUUCGAGAAGUUCUUGUUGUAUCCUGGGGGACUUGCGCAACACACCGCGGAUAAGUCCUUAAAGACAGUGAUCUACACGCCUCAGGAAAUGCGGUUCGAGAUUUUGGUCAGUAUUUUUUACAUUAACUUGAUAAAGAAAAAUUAGGAGCUCCAUAUAGUUGAUGUAAAUCGGUUUGCUCUAAUAGUCUUCAAUGAUGUUUUUUUCACUAAAGUUUCGAAAAAGUCUUCAAAUGGAUUGGUUUGUUCCAUUCCAAAAGUCUUCUACUUGUUUCUCUUUAACAUAACAUAAAUGCUAAAAAAUUGCAUCCCUCAUAUGCUUUGCCGUGACACACUGAUAGAAGUACAGUUGUAGAAUUGAAAGUCCUUACACAGAAUAUAUAUAUAUAUAUAUAUAUAUAUAUAUAUAUAUAUAUAUAUAUAUAUAUAUAUAUAUAUAUAUAUAUAUAUAUAUAUAUAUAUAUAUAUAUAUAUAUAUAUAAGGCACUUAUUGAAGGAAGGGAAACAAUGAAACUAUAAGUUACAUAAUACAACAAAUACUACUUUUGGUUUUUUAUAACACAUCUUUUGUCUUUGUCUCACCAAGAGAACCAUCUUACACAACAAACAAGGUAACAAACCUACGUUAAAUUAAUUCAGCACACCAAGCUACAUGAAAAAGUUUGAAGUCUCAACAUUAUAGUAUAGUUGGAAGUCUUAAUAACAAUGAACAACGAAAAUCCUCACUAAGGAUUUCUUGCAGCCAUGCGAUCGAGUUCAUAUUCACUACACAAAACUGACCAUUUAUAAGCCAUUUUAAGCAAUUCUUGCUCAACUUUUCUUUGAUCUUCCAAUAUUUGAGAUUUGUUUUUUCUCACAUUUUCAAGCUCCUUUUUGUACAUUAUAGUUUCCGCAAUGCAUUUAUUUUUUCCCUCAUCCAGAGAUGAUAAGGCAGCCUCACAAACUUUUAUUUCUUCCUUCAACCUAUUGAUUUGUUCUUUCAAAACCACUUCUUUCAGUUGAGCUUCAUCAUUGAAAUUCUCUGCCUCAGAAAUUUUAAUGGCCACCUCAUUCUCACGAGCUUCAAGUUCUGCCAACUUGUGAGUGGUAACAAAGCGUUGCUUAAAGGAGCAUAGAAUGGUUGGGAAGUGUUGGUGCAUAGUCUCUAUAAUGUGUUUGAGUCGAUCUGAUAGAGUGACAUCUUUGAAAGGAAGGUUGGACAGAAAAUUAAGGGUAGAAAAAAGACGGAGGGUGUUAGUCUCAGAACUAACUAUAUCCUUGAGAGACAUCUUGAGAUAGUUUUCGAGCUCAACAAGGGUCUUUAAAACUAUAUUAUCUUCACCCUCUUUCCCCAAAGUAAUUGGUAUCAUAUGAUUGCCCCCAAAGUCUUGAAUGAGUUCAUGAUGGCCUUCACUUUCUUUAGUAAUACGUGCCUCAUUUUGGCUGCUCCUAAUUUCACUCUGAAAGAGGAAUAAGAAAAAAAUACAUCAGAAAAAACGUUAGAUAACAUCAAGUCAUAAUAGUUGUUGCAAAGCAUUGAGUUUCUUAAUACCAUUUUGGAUGAGUCGUAUGAGUGCAAGUAGAAGUUAAAUUGUGUUGUUAUUGUUUUUCUUUAAGAGGUUAUAAGGGAGAAAUUAUAUAAACCUGACUUUAGUCCAAUCCAAGGAAUUAAUACUACUUCUAAGUUUAAACCUUAAAAUAAUGGAUGUAUGAGUUUUCUUUUUUAUAGUGUUUAUAUUAUGAAGGUUGUUAAACAGAUAAGGGAGUUAUUGUUGUAUUUUACAAUAUAUGUGCAGUGGGUUAUAUUUUACAGAAAAAGGUAUCUCUCUUAUUUAUAAGAGAUGUAAGCCUAGAAAAAAUAAAUGCUAUUACUCUUUCUCACCAACCAUUAAUCAUACAAUCAACUUCCCCACAUCACAAGAUUUAUAAUUAAUACCAAUCUGACAAACAAGAAUUUAGAUUGUAGAAAUUUUGAAAAAGUUUCAUGUUCUAACAUUACUUAAUGUGGGACUUCACACUUAUGCUUAGAGAUUAUUCCUUAUCAUCUUUCUAUUGAGAAUUUCUUUUAUAUAGUAUAUUUUUCCUUAAAUGUGUAUGAUAUUAUUACUGUUAUACUACGGUGAUAUUUUUAAAGCUUUUAAAAUAAAUAUAUUAUUUCAUUUUAUUUAUGUACUCUAUGAUAAAUAAAAUGUAACAAAAUAUGAAAUAUUUUCUAAAUCAACAGAAUAACUAAUUUCUAAGAUUGAAAAAUAUUUCGAAAACUGAAAUAUUUUCAAAAAAGUAGUUUAAAUAAAAAUAUAUUAAAUUAAUAUUAUCAACAAAAUGCCAUUUUGAUAAUAUCUAUUGAGAUAUUAUCAUUAUGAUUAUUUAUUUUAUUAAUUAGGAAUUAUAUUUUUAGUCUAAUUAAUUAUUAUGAUUAGUAACGAAUAUAAUAAAUUUAAAUUCCAAUAUAGAAAUUCAGUAUUUUUUGUUUUUCAAUUUCAUUCUUGUGAUAAAUGAUAAAUUAGAAUCACACCAUUUUUUUUAUUCUGACCGGAUAUGUUAGAAAUGUGAAUUGCAUAAAAUAAACUUACAUGUGCACGUGAUUUAUUUUGUAAAGUAAGUGUUAGGUCCAACUGAAAGGUGGCGGAUUCGGAAAGAACUGAUGAAGCUGCCAUAUUGGUGUUGUUUGCAAUGGUUUCCUCUACGGCAACUUGCUCAAUACUCUGUGCAAGAACAAAUGAUAUGUAGCUUUGGUCUAAUAUAAGUUGCAGACUUCAUUUCUUUCUAUGACUUAUACUAGCAGGGUUAAGUGCACAUGCAUAUUAAUUUAGAAUUAUUUAUGGUAUUUUUGUUUAUCAUUUACCUUAGGAAUUUCACCAACUGGUUUUUCUGAAGUGAAAACUUCUGCAACAAAUUCCUGCUCUGCUUCUUCAUUUCUCAGAGUCACAAUGUGGUCAUUAGAAGCAACACCUAUUUCACCUUCUUUAUCAACCAAGUCAGAACCUUCUUCCAAGCUAAUCUUAGGCCCAUCACCUUCUUCAACAACGUCCCCACUACUAUACCUGUUUAACAAACUUAAAUUGCUUGCCAGAGAACAAAAAACUCAGAAACUGAUGCUAUCAAUCUUUUAAGAAUUUGAUAUGCCACCAAAUGUAUACUCAUAUAACAAAAUAGUCAUACCUCUUAGAAUUCUCAUCUAUUUGUCUCCGUGCAAUGUCCUCUUCCAGAUGAGGAUCCCUCGCCACAACACGUUGACGCAUUUCCUCUACCCAUGAACUCUCAAAUCCAAUUUCAAUAGCUUCUUCACAUAGUUUAUCGAACUCUUUUUCUCUUUGAGGAAUAAUAACACCUUCGACACUCUUGUUAUGAAGGAACAACAACAUAUCUGCCAAAAUUUUCAACUUCCAAGCUUGAAAACGCUCACUAAACUUCUUGGAAGCAUUCCAGAGAUGAGGAUAUGUUGUUAUUUCCUCCAUCAGAAGAGAAAUAUGUACAUCAUCCAGAUCAACAAAAUGUUUAUAUGUUCUCAAUCUUGUACGAAUAUCUGCAGAAGCUGUAAAAAAGUUUGAGAGGGUGAUAUGGAAAUAUUUGAUGGAAAUGAGAAAAUAAAAAAUAAAAAACCUGAAGAAAUGUCAAUGUUGUUGUUAGGAACAACAUUUAUUCCUUGGUUUGCCACGGUUACUGGCUUGCCUUCAUUCAUCUUAUGAUCUUGUUCAACUACCUUGGAAUCUAGUGCAAGUAUGUCCUCGCCACCAGACUCAAUGUAAGUUGCAACACCAGUUGAUGAAGAUUUUCUCUGUGUAUUAUAAAUUGAAAAAAUACGAUUGAGUGAGUGACUCUAAAGUUUAAAAGGAGCCCUAUUACUAUUGCUUCUUCAAGUGCAUAUUGGUAUGGAAAAUCUCCUUUACGGUUUGAUUCCUCAUACACCAACUUUCCUUUUAGGAGUUAGUCUUAAUACUUAAAAUCCAUUUUUAUGUUUAGUAAUAUUACAAAUUAGAGGUGGGCUUCUAAAUUCUAAAGCAGUAGUUGGUAUUUCUAGUCUAUCAGUGAUAAGGUAGAACUUUUCCAAUAAAUGUUGUCAGUUUCAUAUUUUCAAUGCAAAAGCUAAGUUUGGUAAGAUAACUUUGAUUGUGACUAUACUUCCUUCUUUUCCAUAUUUAGGUUACUAAUUUCUAUUUGAUUCUUAAUCAGUUGACAUAUUAUGACUUUAUCUAAUGCAAUGGUCUUUUUAUCUGAAUCAAGGGACAACAAUAAUUUUCUUUGUUCAUUCCUUAGCUUUGAGUAGUAUACAUCAACCAUUCAUUUCCCGUUAAAUUACUAACCAGAUGUGCAUUUGUUGGUAAUUAAGGUGGCUUCUGUUUAUCUACCUAAGAUGAUUUACUUUAAGAAUUUUAAUGGUAAAUUAAUUGUAAUGAAUCACAUUGAUUUGUUUUAAUAAAAAGGAGAUCAAAUUUAGUACGUUAAAUUGAAAAAAAUUAUUCUAAUGAUGAGACAUUAUCGGCUAUUAAAAUUUUUUUUAUUUUAUUUAUGUUCAUAUUCAUAGAUUGGUUGGUUCUGACCUGUAAUGAAGUCAACUCACUGCUAUCAUUAAUAGUUGAAUAACGGUAUAUGGAUCUUAUUAUGUCUUCAAAUUCCUGGCUACGAACUUCAGUGUUUAUGAAAUCUGUAGAAAAAAAAAAAAAAAAAUAUAUAUAUAUAUAUAUAUAUAUAUAUAUAUAUAUAUAUAUUAGGAAACUAACGUGAAAAUGAAAUUCAUAAGAAAAAGGAAUACAACCUCAACUUUCCAUGAAGGAUCAUUACAUCGUUACAAUUAAAAAAAUAUAUAUAAAAAGUUGGGAAUUUUUUUAUCACCCAUCAAAAUAAAGUAGCGCCUCUACGUCUUCAUAAAUAAAAUUACUAGAACCUAAUAUUAAAAGACUUGCAGCAAAAAUUAAGUUAAUGUUCUAAUUUUAAAAAAUUCUGGUGGUACUCGGUUGGGAAUAUAUACGUAUGCAAGACUUAUUUCAAAGCAUUUAGUUAAUAUAACAAUUAUUUAAUAUUUCUUGACAUCAUAAAAAAAUUAAAAAAUAAUAAAUUAUACGUAAUAUUACACUAGGAUAGAUUAAAUUACAUAGAUAACUAAAUUUUAACAGUGCAAAGAAAAUGUGAAAAUAACUAAAAUUCUUAAAAUAAUUUGAGUAUAAUAACAUAUUUUCGUUGUCAAAUAAAAGUGAGAUAAAAUCACAUUUAAUUUGAAAUUAAUAAACUUCCUUUAUGAGAAUGUACACGAGUUAAGACCAAAAUUUAUUUAGAAAAGAAUUAGAUAGCAGAGUUACCUCAUUUCUAUACUGUAAUAGUUUAAGAUUAAUUCAAGAGUUUGACAUCCUUCCAUUAAUAGUUUAAAUUUGAAGACUUUAUAUAGUAUUUACCUUUGUAAGGAAAACGUAACCAGAGCUUCUGAAGAGUAGUUGUUGAAGUCAAAGAGAGUUUUGGACAUUUGUAGACAAUGCAAUUCUUUAAAUUAUGCAAUUCAAUCUCUUGACUGAAGUUUGAAAGAUGCCUAAAUAUUAAAAGUUUGAGUCUUGGAAGCUCAACUUUAAUCUUUCCUUCUUUACAUCCAACAAGUUCUUAUAGUUCAUUGGCUCCAUUUAUGGCCAGAAGAUGAAGAUUGGGAAAGUCAUUAGAAGCAGAUCCAGAUAAUAAUCUUUUCAACUUGUGACAAUGAUCAACACGCAAUGCUUCUAGUUUUGGGAAGCAUGGUUGAGGAGAAACAAGAUUAGACAAAUUUUUAUCCUCUUCAAUGAUUUGUCUUAAUUCUUUGCAUUUGCUUAUCAUCAAAAGCUUCAACUUUGGUAGGCAUCUUAAAACAGACUUUGGAAAGACUACUUCCAAUUUCGCACAUUCAAUUAUUUCUAGUUCUUCAAGAUUUGGGAAGGCAAUAAUCUCCUCUACUUCAGAGCCUCCAUCUAUAGAAAGAAGAUUUGACUCGUCUUCUUCCAUGAUCUGCUUCAAUUCCAUGCACUUUAUUAUGGUUACUUUCUUCAACUCUGGUAAGCAUCUUACAACAGACUUUGGAAAGAUUACUUCCAACUUUCCACAAUCCGUUAUAUAUAAUGCGGUAAGAUGUUGGAGAGUAAGUGAAUGGUUGGGACCCACCCAAAUAUAUGUCAUUUGAGGUAGAUUAUACAACUCCAACUUCUCUAACCUUAAACUCACUUGUUGCCCAAUCAUUUCAUGUUCACUAAGACAAAAAAUACGUUCUACAUCAGAAUGCGUUAUGUUUAGAGUUUGCAAAGAGGGGAGAUGGUUCUGAAUCUCUUUCGAUCCUGUAUUAAGAGCAAAUGUAAACAUAAACGAAAAAGGAAAAAAUAAUUAAUAAUCAUAAAAAACAAAAGACAAAGACUACCUUCGUACUAGUGAUAAUAGGCUCUCUUGAAUUUGUAGGAAUCGUCAAACAACUAACAGAACCAUAAAAUGGAUACAAACAUCUCCCACACUUAAAGACCUUCAAAGAUGGCCACGUCACAGUGACAGUGUUGGUAGAACAAAUGCUAACAAACUUUGGUAGAAAUUUAAGAGAGAGUAUUUCCAAUGCUGAGAAUUGAAUAUGAAUCUCCUUAUAAUCCUUAUUAGCUUCGUCAUAUUGCCCAAACAUAUAUUUCAAUUGGUAACACCAAGACACUGAGAGCUCUUUUAAGUUAGGAAAGAUAGCUUUCAUAUUCUCUUUGCUAUAUUCAUCAUCAUCAAUGUCUAUAAUGUACUCAAGUCCUUUCCAAACCUCAAUUCUCAAAAUUUCCAACAUCAUCAAUGAUGAAGCAAUGGACAGUUUAAAAAGGUACCUUGCCUUAUCAAAGCCUCUCAGUGCAAUCUCUCUAAUAUUGUGUAUCAUAAUCAAGUUCAAACCAUGUGGUUGUUGUGAAAGACAUUCAAUACUUUCAACCGGCGGAUCAAAAUCUGAGUUUGAUAUCUGCAAUUUAUACACCAAGAUACUUCUUAAACCAAACUAAAUAUUAUCUUAACUCUGAUUAUUAACGUAUUCAAUUUCUAUCAUAUUGUUCGUACAUAUAAAAGUUUAAGCAAUGUCUAUAAUUAUUUAGAUUCACUUGUUUCUUACUAAAAAAUAAUUGAUUUCUAUUUAUCCUAUUAAACAAAAUAAUUUUCCAAAGUUAAUAUAUUCCAAAUAAUCUAUCCCAAUACAUAAAUAUUAAAAAUUUAUGUUGCACCUAUGGUAUGAACUAAGGUCACUAGUAAGUGGCAGGGCAUGUAAGACCAUUUAUUACUUAUAGCACAACAUCAUCUUGAAAUUCAAAUAUUUAGAUUAAUUUUUGUAAAUUCACAAAGAGAGAAACAAUGUAAAUGAUGGUUUUUCAUACCUUGAUUGCCACAGAAUCUGUUUCUGUAGCUUCUGAAGCAUCUGUUGAACAAUUUAUGUUGAAAAACCCAACAUAUCUCCCAAUAUCCAAUGAUAGUGUUCUUAAAGAUGGACAUAUCACAUCAUAACUACCAACAAUGGUUCUGUUCCGAAUAUGAUCAAGUUCAAGUACUUGUAAAGCAGGAAGCUCAAUUUGAGUAUUAUUUCGACUAGAGAAGUCUUUCAAAUCAGCAGCCUCUUUAUUUGUUAUAUCAUUCAAUUCUCCAACAAAAGAAACAGGGAAUAUACCCUCAAAUAAGUCACAUUGACUGAUAUGUAUCUUUUUCAAACUUUGGAAGAUUGAAAUAUCACUCUGACUAUCAUGCUCAUCCUCAACAAUACUUUCCUCCUGAUUUUCAAUGAUCCUUUCGUGAGUUAUUAUAUCCUUUAAACUUUUGCAGUCUUGUAUGAACAAUUCUUCCAAAGAAAUCAGGGUUUUAGCUAUAGAUGCUUUAAUAAUUGAGCCUAACUUCCCACAACAAUUUAUCUUAAGGCUUACAAGGCUGGAUAGAGUUCCUGAAAAGCAAUUAUAAAUUGAAAAAACAUUAGUUUCUAGGAACUAAAACCACAAUCAAGAGAGUCAAAUGAUCAGUUAAUAAUGAUGAAAAUAAUGGCCUUUAAUUGUCUUUAAUUUUAAAUUUAACAAACAACUUCACAUGCAAAUAUAAUUUUCUUUAAUUUUAAAUAAGACCAAUUUUGCUUGUAGUGUAUUAACAAGUUUAAGUAAAAGUAUAUUAGUAGCGUAAAUAAGUUCGAAGCUACAUGUGUCACCAUUUUUAACUAAGCAAUACCAUGGAGACUUACUAAUACACAAUUACACAGUUAAACAUAUUUAUAAAUACAAAAGGAAAUAUGUAACUAAACUAUGGUUCAGAACUGUUGUUGUGGGAAUUAAAGGGCUAUAGAAAUAUGGAUGCUUACCUUCCUCAAUUGUUUCAUAAAGUUCUUCUUUUCUAUCUUGGUCUGUUAAUGGAACAAUAUCUCCAAUUAUUUGAUCUAGCAUGUCGCAUCUUUCUAUCUUGAGCUCUUUCAAUUGACCCAAUCCUCCAACAAUGUUGGCUGGGAAUAUAUGUUUUAAUUCUGGACAGCUAUCUACCUCUACUUCUUGAAGAUUUUGGAAGAUUUGUACUGGAUGCCCUGUGGUGAAUUCAUCUUGACUUUUCUCAUCAUAUGUUAAUAUAUGCUUCAGUUCAUCACAUCCUGAUAUUUUUAAUAUUUUCAAUUGUACCAAAUUUCGAGCACCCACAUAUGUGAAGAGAAAUGUCAACCGUGGACAAUCACUUAAAUACAACUUCUCUAAGUUCUCAAAAGGUCCAUUGGCAGGAAGAAAACAAUUCCAUAUAGCUUUUAGAUUUUCCAUGCUUCCUAUUCUCAACGUAUGCAACUUGGAGAAGAGAGUUACCACCUCACUCGAGUGACUACGAGUGUCAAUCAAACACUUUAUCUCUGCAGAAUCACGUAUCUCCAACUUAUUCAACUCAUUCAAACCUCCUCCUUCAAUUUCAAAUAUAUCAGGGAUCAUAUUUUUUGCACCUCCAUCAAUAUUGCGUACAAAUAGAUCCUUUGCUUUUUUUGCCAAACCCUUUAUUACUUCAUUUGAUAUGUCAAAAUGGUUAAGUAAUAAAGUUCUUCCAUGAAUAUAAAUGUCUCCAUCAUCAAAAUCCUCAAAAUUAUAAGAUGCUAAUACAAUUCCAUACCUUUGCAGUGUUUCGGGAAUGCUAAACGUCUUAAAGAAUUCAAUAUUAUCUUCACUGUUAGCAUCCCAUUCUCCUUUAAUAUCAAUAAUGUACAACUCUUCCAAAAGCGGGAUUCUCUUCAUCACUUCAAAAUUCUUCACUUUAAUGUCACAUUCAUUCAACUCUAACAAUUUUAGUGUAAUUGCAACAUCGGUUUGUGAUUCAGGAAAUGAAGGCAGUGAACAAUAAUAUAACGAGAGACUUUGGAGAUUCUUCAUACCGCCAAAAAAUGAGAAGUCGCUCAAUUCAUAAUUCUCAAUGAGUAGAGAACGAAGAUUUGUUAAUGUUUUGAAAGAUAUUGUUGACAAUCGUGUUUUUCCACCCUCAUCGUUGACAAGAAUCAAAACUUUGAGCGUUCCCAUUCUUUUGAAAAUUUCAUCAAAUCCUUUCAUCUUUGUCCGUAAGUAUAAAAACUCAAGAUUGGAGCAAUCCAAAUUAUUUGGAAAUUUCGCACACCAUAGAUAUCUUGCUGAAUUUUGUUCCACUCUAACAUCUUUCUCCACUUCACACAUGAUCAUCUUAUUCUCAUUUUUUGCUAUUAUGUGGGCCACAUCACGAACUAUGUCAUGCAUUUUGAUACAUUCAUGAUCUGCAUCCAACAAUAAACAACAACUAACAAGCUUAAUUUUAGCUGCAAUCACUUCACUUCUUGCCUCUUCAUAUGAGUCAACUUCUCCAACUACACCUAAUCCUAUUGCAUAUCUUGUUAAAAGUUCAAUUGGAAUUUCGAAAUCUUCAGGAAACACAGAGCACAACAGGAAAAAUGAUUUAGCUUCUUUAGUAUCUAAAUUGUCAUAGCUCAAUUGUAGACACUUGUAGGGAUCAAUCAAACCUCUUUCAAUAUUUAUUGGCUUCGAACGUCUUAAUUUAUUUAAUGCAACACUCCAUACCGUCUCCGCUUUUCCCUUCAAACUACAAGCAACAGCUGCAAUGGCAACAGGCAAUCCUUUACAUUGAUUGGAAAUUAAUCUUCCCAGAUUCUUUAAGGUAUCAGGGGUGUCUUCUGAUAUAAAAGCUUUAUUUUGGAAAAGAGUCCAUGCUUCUUCAUCCGUUAAAAUGGGCAGGUAAAUCCUUCUUUGACAAUCCAUUGAAAUACAAACAUCUUCUAAUCUAGUGGUAAUGAGAAUUUUGCAACCUUUAUGGUGUUGAGAAGAAGGAAUCCCAAUACGACCAAAGUCAAGCUUCUCCCAUACAUCAUCUAGAAUUAUAAAAAUAUUUUUCUCUUCAGUUAAUCUUGAGCACAAUCUUUGGGCUCUCUGCAUUUCUUCAGUUUCUGGAAAUUCAAAUGGCAGUGAACUUGCUAUCUUUUCUUGAAUCCUCCGUACUUCUACCGUACUUGAAACAGGUACAAAAAGAACUUUUUGCUCUGCUUCUACUAAUUUCCUAACCUCCAUUGCUAAGGUGGUUUUACCACAACCUCCCAUCCCAUACAACCCAAUCAUGGAAACAUCAUUAUUUUUCACUGCAUCCAGUAGUUGCUCGGAAGCAGAUUGUCUACUCUCAAAAUUCAUGCAUUUUUCUGAAAGCAUAUCAAGGGUGUUUGAAGGAAGCGUAGCGAUGCGGUCAAAUGGCACAUAUUUUCUACCAUUUUCAAUGAACUUUACGAGGUCCAUAGUUUUAUUUGCUAACUUUUUUUCCAACAUGGUAUCGCCAAAUCCAAUUUGGGAAGUGCCCAAAGCAACAAUGUUUGUGUGUUUUAGCCUCUUCCAGCAACUGAUUGACAUUGUGUACAUCAUUGAUAGCAUCUUCAAGCCACUUGUCCACAAUUUCACUGGGUUUUCUCGCUUGUUUCUUGUCAUGCGUAACAAAUUUUUGGACACUAUCUUUCGUUAUAAUCAAAUUGUUCUCUUCUUCUUCAAGCCUUUUGACGAAAUUUUUAAAGCAACAAGGAUAACAUAAUUGAUUUAAUACUCCACACACUAAAUCUCUUGAAACAGAAGAUGCAAAACCAAAGAGACACUCCAUCAAUUUAUUCCAACAUAUACAACUUUCUUAAACCUGAACAAGAAAAGAUAAACCGCACUUAUAAGUCUUGCAAUUAUAUUUAGAUGUAUUACGUAACAAAAUGAUUUUAAAAUAAUUUAUUUCACGUUUCAGUACAUAAAAACUUAAAAACUUAUCAAGUAUAGCAAUUAAAUUUAAUGUUUUCUAUCCUAAAUAGUCAAUUAUGGGAUACACUAAAAAAAAUCUAAUAACUUUAAUAAUUGCUUUUAAAAUUUUUAGGUUUGAUAAGAAUUUUUAAAUAUAUUUUUCGUCACUUUGAUGAUUCUGUCGAACAUUUUUUUUUUAAAUUAUGUUUUGUAAAUGUUUUACCCUCCCACCAACAAAAAAAAAUAAAACAUCUUCAAACAUAGAAGUAUGUAGAUGAGAAGAUUUGUUAAAUAGACAAAAAAAAAAAAGUGUACCAGUACAAAAUAUCUUUAACCAAAGCUUAAACUAAAACAUGUAUACAAAAUUAACAUUAUACUUUUUUUUGUAAGUUUAAUUUUUCAUAUUUAAAUUUAUAUCCACGUUUUUAGAUUAUAUCAAUUUUAGAUAAAAUGUACAAAUAGAAAAAGAACAAAAAUACAUAAUUCCUUAAAAUGUUAAUUGUGAUAGAGGAUCUGGGAAUUAAGUUAUUAUAUGCAUGAUACGAUUGGUGACUUGAUGAGUAACAAGAGUUCUACACUUUACACCAAAAAUCACUCUAUAAACAAUUCGUUAUACAAAACUAUACUUUCAAGUCUUCAACUUCUGUUACUUGUAUUAAUUCAUUAUAAUGAAAUAUAUUAAUUCACCGUUUUCCUCACUUAAAUAGUUAAGAUCAUGUUUAUCAUAUACCCUCUCUUCAAAAAAUUUCCGUUAAUAUAAUAUAAGACACUUUGCUUUCUUAUCUAUAAUUUAAUUUUCAAUUUUUUUUUUCUUUUAAACACACAAUCUUCACUUUAAUUCCUUAUUUUCUUUAAGACUAAAUUAAUUAUUUUCAACAGUUUUUUUGCAUCUAUUUGGAAAUUUUGAGUGAGGUGGCAUGUGUAUCAUAAUUUAUCCGAACUUCUAUUAUAAGAAAAUGUAACUUAUAUAAGAGGCCAAUUAUAAGAGUAGUUAAUUAUUGACAAAGGGAUUAAUUAAAACUAUUAAGAAUCUUAUGUGAAAGUCAUGAAAACGUCAACUCGUGGUACUGAAUCAAUUGAGGAAAAUACAAACUUCAAUGAUUACAUAAUAUUAAUUAGUUGAUAUGAGUUGUCUUUAAGUGGUUCAAAUGUAUUAAGUCCUAUUAAUGAAAGAUUAAAAAGAGGAGUUCAUCAAGCUUCUUUAGGACUUCUAAAUACAUAAUUUCUUUUUGUUUCAAUUCUAAGUUGGUAUCUGUAAUUUUCGAUGCAUUUUUUGCAGUCUUCUAUCGUCAUCAGUUAUCAUCGUAGUUUUCAUCGAUGGAGUAACCCCAAUACGUUCCUUCCACGUGUCUUGUUUAGAGGUUAUUUGGUGGACUUAGUCACAAAGAGAUUCACUCUUUCUUGUGGAUUGAAGGGUUUUUCUAUAGAACCUAGUUUUUUCCUUUAAAGACUAUUGUUUUGUUUUCAGAAUCUGUUUUUAAAAUGUCUAUACACCUAUCACUUUUUAAAAUCCUACCAUUACUAUUGAAAAACUAAAUGAAAAAAAUUAUUUUUUGUGUUCGGCAUUAUUGAAAUAUAGUUCCUUAGCCAAGGUCAUCAUGACCACGUACCUCUUAAGAAGAUUGAAUAAUGGAAGCCAGUUGAUUUUUAAUUGUGUGUUGUGUUGUGCCAAUAUGUGGAACCGGAGAUUUUGGUUUCCCUUACAACUUUUAAAAUUUAUCACUUCUUUUCCAAAAAAGCUCAAAAUAUUUAUAUUCAAUAGUUUUGACUUUGUAAAUAGACUUGCAUCCCUUGAACAAAUCGAUUAUUCUUCAUGACUGAAGCUUAGUUCGCAAUUGAAGAAAUAAAGAUGUUUUUGGAAUAGUCUUUGGAUUAAAUAAAAAAGAAACUUGACAAUUACUAUAUGCUAAUGAUUCUUCAUUCUCUACGUCUAGACUUUGAUCAUCUUAGAGAUCAACUAUUAACCCAUCAUGAGAUCCUUUCCAUGGAAAGUUUGACCACAAGUCUCUUUAGAGUUCUAAUACCUCAAAGAAAGGAAGUUCAUGAACCUAUGGAACCGUCUGUUAUGGUUGUCACAUGAGGAAGAGAACGUGGAGGACGAUGACGUAUUCAGUGCACAUACUAUAAAAAGAUCGCUCCUAAGAAAAUUGUUUCUCAUAGCAUGAUUUUCCUACCAAGACCGCCCAUGUCUCUAAGGCAGAAAUUGUCGACUCCAAAUUCACUAAUGAAGAAUAACAAGAGUAUCUAAAGUUAAAAUCUAAUAGCUUGGCACAAAUAUCCGAAACUCCAUAUACAUUAACAACUUACAUUUCCCAAUUAAUGGAAGGUCAAAAUUCAUGGGUAAUUGACUCAGAUGAUUUUGAUCACAUGUUUAGUAAUACCUCUUUGUUCUCAUCUCUUUCUUUUAAAAAAUAAACACAUAGUUAAGACUACUCAUAAUGUACUGCUUGGUGCAAAUGUUAUUUCUCAACAUUGGAAGAUGUAAUCCUAACUUCUUAUUAACAAGAUGUCAUCCUCCUCUCUCAAUAAUAAGGUUCCUUGUUUCAUUCUUUUUAUAAAUGACCCUCUUUUUCACAUUUUUCCUCGUCUAUUUGGUUGUGUAUAUUUUAUUCAUGACAUGACUCAAGGGUUAGAUAAACUAUCUACAUAAUUUGGUUGUGCAUACACAUACCCUUUCUUUAAUAUAUGUGAGAAUCACAUAAUUUUAAAAUCCUAUUUUGGCUUUCUAUAUCAUGCAUAUUCGAAAAUCGUUAAGUUUUGCUAUGUGUUUUCACAUUACCAAAAUCACUAAUAGACUAUUCUAGCAAGACUAGUUAUGCCGAUUGUGUCACUAGUUAUAUAGGCCCCUUUUAUUUCCAUGUUUGUUGUCUUUGGUGUGAGGGAUAUGUUCGAAAUCUCACGUCAGAUAGAUAUAAGUACAAAACUUACUUUCAAAGCUGCAAUUUAUGAGAUAUAUGAAUACUCGAUGUCCUUAAUGUGAGGUGUGUUGAAAAUUCUACAUUAGAUAAAGAUAUGCACAAAUUAUAAUUCAUAAGUGAAUGGAAACUCCACCUUAUUAAAUUGAUUUUAUAAGAUUAAGUUACCAUUAAGUACAACUACCUUAAUAUGGUUUUAAAGUUGUUAAAAAUCUAUCUUAGUGAAAUUAAUUAGGUAUUUCAAACCUACCUCUUUACCAUUCCCAAUGUCCUCAAGAGAAUGUAUUAAAAUUUUCACAUUGAUAAAAAAUUAAUCCAAUUUUAUGAUAUAUAUAUAUAUAUAUAUAUAUAUAUAUAUAUAUAUAUAUAUAUAAAAUUAAUUUAAUGAGAUUGAAUUAAUGAGUUAAAUUUCAUUACUUAAAUACUUGUGUUUGACUUAAUAUGAUGAUAAUUAUGAUUAUGUUAUUUUUUUCUUUAUUAAUACAUUAAACUACGGGAAAAAAAUUAAAAAUUAAAAAUACACAUUUAGUUUAAAAUAAUUCAUUGUGGUUAAAAAUUAAUUAGAUUUAAAUAAACUUUUGAAGUAGUUACACUUUUACUCUCUCGUAGAAAGGACAUAAUUAACUCUGUUUAAAGUAAAAUGAUAGUAUUAUGUUUUCUGAAAUUAAACUGAGACCAAACUGCUUUUAAAAUUUUACACAAAUUUUCCAUUUGUAUGUUAAAUAUCACUUUUUUUUUUCAUUACACAUGCACCUUCAUAAAAUUAGUGAGUGUAAGCAUAAUUUGAGAAAGCAUAUUGUAUUUUAGUCAUCCAUAUUUAUUAUUUAGAUGAUGUUAAAAAUGUUCAUCUUCUACAUAUAUGAUGUAUAAUUGAUUAUGGGAUGUGAAAUAAAGAUGAUGUUUGUAAUUUGGAAGUGGAAAAUGAUAAAAGAUUACUUUACCUGAUUUAAGUAAUACGCAGAGAGAGAAUGGAGAAUUGGCGAGAAAGAAACAAGUGAUCAUCCAUUAUUUCAAAGAGACUCUGAAAAGUUAAGUUACUGACAUAAACAUAAACACAAACACAUUAUCUACAAACAUAAACAGUAGUAACACGGAUUAAGGUAGGAAUUGAUAGUGAAUACUCAUCUUGUUUAAAAAGAUAUUUGUAAAAAUGCACCAUGACUUUUUUUCUUCAUACGUAUCGAAUAUAUUUUUUAUUUUAUUUUUUAACUUUUAAAUAAAAUUAUUUAACAACAAAUUUUUAAAGUAUAAAUUUAGCUAAAAUUAUUAAUUUUAAAAUAUAAUUCAAAUAAAAUUAUACGUUGAAUUGUUAAUGCAAAAAAAAAAAAAGUUGAAUUAAAGUAUAAGGUUUAGAACUUAAUUUUUAUGAAUGAAUUUAAUUUUAUAGAUUUAAAUUUAAAACAUUUAAAUAAACAAAACGUUAUGUCAUAUUUACUUAAUCUUUAUUCUUGAUAAAAAAAAAAUUAUAGAUGUAAAGAUCAAAUUUAAAAAAAAAAAAAAAUAUUUUUCUCAUUAAUAACUUUAUUUUGAUAAUUUAAUUUUUAAAAAGAAAAACUGAAAUAAAAUUUAAUAAGAAUUACUAGUAGAUAGAGAAUAUGUAUAUAUUAGAUAGCAUGAUACACAUACAUGUCUUGUGAAUAAAUAGAUAAUUAAAAUUAAUUAUAGGUGUUUGAAUAAAAAUAUUUAAUGUUAUUUUUGAACUUAAUAGGAAUAAAAGUGUAUGAACUCUGUUUAUACUCUUUUGGCUUUGAAGUUAAGUAAAAAAGAGAAAAAACAGAUGUUGUUGAUAUCUAACUAAUUUGGAAGUGGAAAAUGAAGAGAAAUAUGUAAGCUUAGGUUACCUGCUUUAACUAAUAUGCAGAGAGCAAUGGAAGAAUUGGCUAGAAAGAAGUCAUCCAUCACUUCAAACUACAGAGACGCUCAAACGUUAUGUUACUGUUUAAACACAAAAACAAACGGAAACGAUUAGAAUUUCAAAUCAAAACAGAACAUAACUCUACAGUGAUUGCUACCUCCACAGAGACGAAUGAACUCCAUUGCUUGAAUCGACUAUAGAGUAUGCCAUACAAUGCGAUAAGAAUGAAAGCACAGCUUUUUCUAACACUGACAAUUUGUCUGCUUCCUUUUCUUUAUUGAAUUAUUAUUAUUUUAAAAAACCUUUAUCAAUACUUUUUAAUUUUUAUACUUCUUUUCAACAUACUUUUAUUAAUACUCUGCAUGAUUGAGGGAUGUUUUGACUUCCACUUUUAUAUCUUUAAAAGUCUUUGUCGUUUAUUUAUUAUUGUUGUCGGGUGGGGUACUAUUAAAAAGGAGAAUGGACAGAUUUACCAAUUUCAUUUUUGUAAACUUAAUCUUGCAUUACCAUUUGUAGCAGCCAUCUCAACAUUGCCUUCCUUCACAUGUUCUUGAAUGAAAUAAAAGCAUGCACCAAUGUGUAUGCUUCUCUCAUGAUUGAUCUGGCUUUUUCCCCACUCAAUUGCUGACUUGUUAUCCACUCUUAUUAUUGGCCUUUCUUCUUAUUUAAUUUCUAGUUUGCUUAGAAAAUCUUUAAGCCAUACUGAUGUCAUACACCAUGAUGCCAUUUUUCAUUGAGGAAAGGAAAAAAAAAAUUCUGUAACUUUGAAGAAAAAAUGAGAUGCAAUUGAUCACUGAGUUACAAUAGAGAACAAAUUGCUUUUUUUUUAUUUAUAAUAACACUUGUUUUGUCUGUUUUACGAAGAAUAACCUCUUACACAACAAAUAAGAUAGCAAACUUACAACAAAAUAAAACCAUCCAAAUUUGGAAACUAAAUUGAAACUGUAUGAUGAGUGGUAGCUGAUGGGUUGGGUGCACAUUAAGUUCAUUUAGGACCAAGCUACCUUAUUAUUGAAGCAUAAACCACUAGAAAAAAACACAAGACUUUGACCUUAAUAAUAAUGAACAACGAAAACCCUCACGAAGGAUUUGUAGCAGUCAUACGAUUGAGCUCAUAUUGACUACACAUUUGAGAUUCGUCUUUCCUCGCAUUUUCAAGCUCUGUUUUGCCACCUCCAAAGUUUUGAAUGAUUUUAGGAUGCCCUUCACUUUCUUUGGCAAUACGUGCCUCAAUUUGGCUGCGGUUAAUUUCAACAAAAUAUAAUACAAAAGACGUUACCAUCAAACAAGUUGCAAAGCAUUGACUUUCUUAUCACCAUUUUGGAUGAGUUAUAUAAGUACAAGUAGAAGUUAAAAUGUGAUUUUUUUUUUUAUUUUGAGGGAAUUAUUAAGGAAAGAUUAUAUGAAUGUGACCUUAAUCUAACUUAUAUAAAAAAUUAACAUUAUUUUCAAUCUACAACUUUAAGAUAAUAAGUUUAUAAAUUUUUUUUUCUUAUAUGAUGUUUAAUUUUGUUAUUUUUAUCCAAAUAAAGACUUUAAACUCACAUUGAAAGUAUUCCUAACAAUCUCUUCUUCAAGAAUAAGUCCCUGUUAUAAGAUAUAUUUCUAGUGACCUUGGCUUGUACUACAAUUAUUAUGGUGUUGGAUUGUGUUGUUGUCAUAAACAUCUAAGCUAGUUAGCAAGAUGAAUCAACGGUUAUGAUUAAGGGUUUUGGAAAUAUAUCAAAUAUAUAAGAGAUAUUUUGUAGUAAGGAAUUUGUUAUUUUAUUUUAUUCAUAUACUUUAUAUAUAGAGUAAAAUGUAAUAAAAUAUUAAAUAUUCAUUAAAUCUAAAUAAUAACUCAUAAAAUCGAAAGAUUUCCUAAAAGGUAAUUUAAAUAAAAAGAUAAUAUGCAAAUAUUCUGAACAAAAUGUAAGAGUGAUGUUAACAAAUAUAUUAAAUUUAAAUUCCAAUUUCGAAAUUAAGUACUAUUUUGUUUUUCAAUUACCCUCCUCGACAAAUAAUAAAUGAGAAUGGUAACAUCUUUUUUAUUUUGACCAAAUAUGUUGAAAAUCACAAAAGUCUCAUCCAAUACUCAUAAAAAGAUUUAUUAGACUCACAUUUGAGGGUGUUGACUUUUCAACUGUUUGCGAGUUUGUUAAUGAUGUUGCUAUUCUUGGUACUCAAAUUCCUUCUCUGCUUCUUCAUUUCUCAUAGCCACAAUGUUGUCAUUAGAAGCAACACCUAUUUCACCUUCUUUAUCAACCAAGUCAGAACCUUCUUCCAAUCUAAUCUUAGGCCCAUCACUUUCUUCAACAACGUCCCCACUACUAUACCUGUUUAACAAGCUUAAAUUGCUUGCCAGAGAACAAAAAACUCAGAAACAGAUGCUAGCAAUCUUGUAAGAAUUUUAUAUGCCACCAAAUGUAUAAUCAUCCAACAAAAUAGUCAUACCUCUUAGAAUUCUCAUUUAUUUGUCUCCGUGCAAUGUCCUCUCCCAGCUUAGGAUUCCUUGCCACAACACGUUGACGCAUUUUCUCUACCCAUGAACUCUCAAAUCCAACUAAAAUAGCUUCUUCACAUAGUUUAUAGAACUCUUUUUCUCUUUGAGGAAUAACACUAUGGACACUUUCCUUCUGAAGGAAAGACAACAUAUCUGCCAAAAUUUUCAACCUCCAAGCUUGAAAACGAUCACUAAACUUCUUGGAAGCAUUCCAGAGAUGAGGAUAUGAAGUAAUUGCCUCCACCAGAAGAGAAAUCUGUGCAUCAUCCAGAUCAACAAAAUGUUUAUAUGCUCCCAAUCUUGUACGGAUAUCUGCAGAAGAAGCUGUAAGAAGUUUGAGAGGGUGAUAUGGAAAUAAUAGGAUGGAAAUGAGAAAAUAAGAAAUAAGAAACCUGAAGAAAUGUCAAUGUUGUUGUUAGGAACAAAAUCUAUUCCCUCUUGUUUAUGCAAAAGGUUCAGCCCUUCUUGUACUUGGAUUCCUUGGCUUGCCACUAUUCCUGGCUUGCCUUCAGUCAUCUUAUCAUCUUGUUCAACUACCUUGGAAUCUAGUGCAAGUAUGUCCUCGCCAUCUCCAAUGCUAGUGUCUUCAACUCCAGUUGAUGAAGAUUCAGUGCUCUCAUUUCCUUCGUCCUCAAUCUCCUGUGUAUUAAAAAUUGAAAAAGUACGAUUGAGGGAGUGGCUCUAAAGUUUGAAAGGAGCCCUAUAUAUUAAUAUUGCUUCUUCAAGUGCAUAUUGAUAUGGAAAACCUCCUUCAUUGUUUCAUUCCUCAUACACCAACUUUCUUUUAAAAUAUUGCACAAGCAAGUUAGGAGUUAGUCUUUAUAUUACAAAAUCAAGGGACAACAAUAAUUUUCUUUGUUCAUUCCUUCGCUUUGAGUGAUCAACCAUUCCUUUCCUGUUAAAUUACUUAGCAGAUGUACAUUUGUUGGUAAUUAAUUAAGGUGGCUUCUGUUGAUCUACCAAAGAUGAUUUACUUUAAGAAUUUUGAUGGUACAUUAAUUUUAAUGGAUCACAAUGAUUUGUUCUAAUAAAAAUGAGAUCAAAUUUAGUACUUAAAUUAAAAAAAAAAAAAGUUAUUCUAAUAAUGAGACUGAAUACGCUAUUAAUUUUUUUUUAUUGUAUUCAUAUUCAUAGAUUUUUUCGUUCUGACCUGUGAUGAAGUGAAGUCCCUGUCGCUACCAUUAAUAGUUGAAUCUUCAUAUAUGAAUCUUAAUAUGCAUUGGAAUUCCCAACUAUCAAGUUCUGUGUUUAUGAAAUCUGUACAAAAUAAUUGACUGUAAUAGGGCAAAUAAAAUGUGAAUAUACCUAAAAUUCUUAAAAUUAUUUGAGUAUAAUAAUAUAUUUUCGUUGUUGAAUAGAAAUGAGAUAAAAAUUCCAUUUAAUAAUUUAAGAUUAAUUCAAGAUGUUGACAUCCUUCCAUUAAUAGUUUAAAUUUGAAGAUUUUAUAUAUUAUUUACCUUUGUAAGGAAAAUCUUGACGGAGCUUCUCAAGAGUUCUUGUUGAAGUCAAAGAGAGUUUUGGACAUUUGUAGACAAUGCAAUUCUUUAAAUUAUGCAAUUCAAUCUCUUGAUAGAAGUUUUCCAGAUGCAUCAAUAUUAAAAGUUUGAGUCUUGGAAGCUCAACUUUAGUCUUUCCUUGUUUACAUCCAACAAGCUCUUCUAGUUCAUAGGCUCCAUUUAAGACCAGAAGUUGAAGAUUGGGAAGGUCAUUAGAAGAAGAUUCAGAUAAACAACUUUUCAACUUGUGGCAAUCAUCAAUAAGCAAUGCUUCUAAUUUUGGGAAGCAUGGUUGAGGAGAAACAGGAUUAGACAAAUUUUUAUCCUCCACACCCCCUUCAAUGAUUUGUCUUAAUUCUUUGCAUUUGCUUAUCAUCAAAAGCUUCAACUUUGGUAGACAUCUUAAAACAGACUUUUGAAAGACUACUUCCAAUUUCGCACAUUCAAUUAUUUCUAGUUUUUUAAGAUUUGGGAAGGCAAAAUAAUUGUUUGAAGGUUCUUUAUCACAUCCAAUAAUCUCCUCUACUUUAGAGCCUCCAUCUAUAGAAAGAAUAUUGGACUCGUCUUCUUCCAUGAUCUGCUUCAAUUCCAUGCAUUCUGAUAUGGUUAAGCACUUCAACUCUGGUAAGCUUCUUAAAACACAAGAAGGAAAGAUUACUUCUAACUUUCCACAAUCCCUUAUUUCUAAUGUGGUAAGAUGUUGGAGAGUAAGUGAAUUGUUGGGACCCACCCAAAUAUAAGUCAUUUGACUUAGAAAUUCCAAAGACAAAUACUUUAACCUUAAACUCACUUGUUGUCCAAUCAUUUCAUGUUCAUUAAGACAAAAAAUAUGUUCUGCAUCAGAACGCUUUAUGUAUAGAGUUUGCAAAGUGGGGAGAUGGUUCUGAAUCCCUUUCGGAUCCUGUAGGACAUUAAGAGCAAAUAUAAACAUAAACGAAAAAAGAAAUUAUAAUUAAUAAUCAUAAAAAAAAGAGACAAAACUACCUUCGUACUUGUAGGCUCUCUUGAAUUUGUAGGAAUCGUCAAACAACUUACAGAACCAUAAAAUGGAUACAAACAUCUGUAACACUCAAAGUCCUUCAAAGAUGGCCACGUCACAGUGACAGUGUUGGUAGAACAAAUGCUAACAAAGCUUGGUAGAUAGUUAAGAGAGAGUAUUUCCAAUGCUGAGAAUUGAAUAUGAAUCUCCUUAUAAUCCUUAUUAGCUACGUCAUAUUGCCCAAACAUAUAUUCCAAUCCAUAACACCUAUCCACUGAGAGCUUUUUUAAGUUAGGAAAGAUAGCUUUCAUAUACUCUUUGCCAUAUUCAUCAUCAGUGUCUAUAAUGUACUCAAGUCCGCCACAAUGCUCAAUUCUCAAAAUUUCCAACAUCAUCAAUGAUGAAGCAAUGGACAGUUUAAAAAGGUACCUUGCCUUAUCAAAGCCUUUCAGUGCAAUCUCUCUAAUAUUGUGUAUCACAAUCAAGUUCAAACCAUGUGGUUGUUUUGAAAGACACUCAAUACUUCCAAUCGGGGGAACAAAAUCUGAGUUCGAUAUCUGCAAUUUAUACACCAAGAUACUUCUUAAACCAAGCUAAAUAUUAUCUUAACUCUGGUUAUUAAUGUAUUCCAUUUCUAUCGUAUUGUUGGUAUAACUAAGUUUAAGCAAUGUCACUAAUUUUUUAGAUUCACUUCUUUCUCCGCAAAAAUAAUUGCUUUAUGUUUAGCCUAUUAAGAGAAAGUUGAAAAGAAAAUAAUUUUCCAAAGUUAAUCUAUGUUGAAAUGUAAAUUGAUUUUGUGUUUUGGGCCUAUAAGAUAAAAAUCCAAGAUUAUAAAAGGACCAAAUAGAAUUCUAGAAAAUCCUAUCUACAAGGAUUCUAGAAUGAUGUACAAAAAUAUCUAGGGAUGUUUAUCUAUAAGAUGUCCGUAUAUAAGUUUAAAAUAAUAUGAAUGUUUUAGAAAUCUCUAAAGAAUGAAUAAUGACCCUUAGAUUAAUGUUGUGGAGGCAAGAUCCUAACCAUUGGUUAAGGAAGUACUCCUAGUAUAAAUAGGGGUGAUUGAAUCAUUUGUAAUCAAGCCAAAAAAAAAAAAAAUUAGAAGCAUUCAAUAUAACAAGUCUUUCCUUCUCACAAAAUCUUCCAACCUCUCCCAAUUUUUAAACACUUCCUUCAAGCCUCUAAAAUUUCCUCCCAACAAAAUCAAGAGCCAUAAGAUCAUCAUAGAAAUGGCAAAUACCAAAGUUCCCUUUCAAGUCCCGAUACUCACAAAGACCAACUACGACAAUUAGAGCUUAAGGAUGAUAGCUCUGCUUAGUGCACAUGAUGUGUGGGAGGUGGUCGAGAACGGGCACACUAAGCUAGAGAAUGUAGACAGUCUUUCUGAAGCUCAAAAAGAGAGUUUGAGAGACACAAGGAAGAUAGAAAAGAUAACUCUCUCUCUCUAAUCUAUCAAGGAUUAGACGAAGAUACUUUUGAGAAGAUUUUCGAAGUCAUGUCAGCCAAGGAAGCAUGGGAGAAGCUUAAGAUCUCUUUCAACGGAGCAGAUCAAGUCAAAAAGGUACUUCUUCAAACUUUGAGAGGAGAGUUUGAAGUAUUUCAUAUGAAAGAAGGUGAACUAGUCUUCGAUUACUUCUCAAGAGUUUUGACAGUUACUAAUCAACUAAAAAGAAAUGGUGAGAAGAUAAAUGAUGUAAGAAUUAUGGAGAAAGUUCUUAGAUUAUUAGAUCCAAAGUUUGAACAUAUUGUCACCAUUACCGAAGAAACCAAAUACUUGGAGGCCAUGUCAAUAGAGAAACUUCUUGCUACGUUGCAAGCUUAUGAAGAAAAGAAAAAGAAGAAGGAAGAGAUCGUGGAGCAAGUCCUCAAGGCACACGUUGAUUAAAGAAAAGAAGAAAAUGCAUACAACUAACCAAGACGAAGUUAUAGUCAAGAACAAGGACGAGGGCAUGCAUAUGGAUGUGGACAAGGAUGAAGGCCUUACAACAAUAACCAAAGAGGAGAAAGAUCUAACAGAGGUCGUGGGAGAGGAAAUCUUAAUUCAAGGUAUGACAAGUCACGAAUCAAGUGUUACAAUUGUGAUAAAUUUGGACAUUAUGCUUCUGAAUGUAGAACCCCCAACAAAAAUAAAGUCGAAGACAAAGCCAACUAUGCUGAAGAAAGGUGUCAAGAAGGUGGUACCUUGCUACUAACUUACAUGGGCCAAGACAGUGGAGCAAGUAACCAUAUGUGUGGGAAAAGAAGCAUGUUCGUGGAGCUUGAUGAAUUAGUAAAGGGAAAUGUGGCUUUCGGAGAUGAAUCAAAGGUGGCGGUGAAAGGAAAAGAUAAUGUCCUCAUCCGACUAAAGAAUGGAGAACAUCAAUUUAUUUCCAACUAUAUUAUGUGCCAAACAUGAAGAACAACAUCUUAAGCUUAGGACAACUUUUAGUGAAAGGUUAUGAUAUUCAACUUAAGAAUAAUAACCUUUCUAUAAAAGAUAAUAAAAGUAAAUUCAUUGCGAAGGUCCCAAUGACAAGAAAUAAAAUAUUUGUGCUCAACAUUCUAAGUGAUGGCCCACUAUGUCUCAAGAUGUGCUACAAAGACCAAUCAUGGCUUUGACAUCUUCAAUUUGGCCAUCUUAGUUUUAAAGGGUUAAAGUUGUUCUCCAAGAAGGCAAUGGUGAGAGGGUUACCUUGUAUUACUCAUCCAAACCAAGUUUGUGAAGGAUCUCUACUUGGAAAACAAUUUCUAUUGAGUUUUCCAAAUUGAUAACGGUAAUUCUUACCAUUAUCUAUGGUGCAAUUUUCUUGCCAAAUCAACACUCCUAAAGCUUGAAACACGCUUAAUCCUCUCUUUAAUAUAACUUUGUGAAUAAACUCAGCUUAGGUUACACACAUUAGUUUUCAUCUCUAAUUUCCUCGAAUUUUGUAGGAACUUGGAGUACUUUGGAAAGGCAUUCAAGUUAUCAAGAGUGGAGAACCAAAGCAGAAUCAGAAAGAAGAAGUUUGGAAGAAGUUCACCUGGAGAACUGGCACCGGGCGCCACCCAUAUCACGUUGGGCGCCAGAUUUCACUUUUUUCAGGGAGCAUUUCACGUUAGGCGUCACCAACAUGGAGCUGGGCGUGAAAACUCACUGUUUUCAAUCAACAUUUCACGUUGGGCGCCACCUAUAUGACGUUGGGCGCGACUUUUACUGGUAUGUCUCCCUGCAACUAUAAAAGGCCGACACUCGUCUAGGGUUGGAUCUUCUUGGCGGCUGGAGCUCAGAAAGACGUUUUUGGACCUCUUGGAGCUGGUUUUGGACUGUGGGAGCUCUCCUUUCCUUCUCCUUAGGUCUCCAUCUUCACCAUUUCCUUCCAUUGUAAGCUCAAGCUCUCCAUUGUAAUGGAGAGCUAAGUACAUUUUGUUGGAGAGUGAUGUAAAUGAAGAACCUCAUUUGUAAAUGCACUUGUUUUAAAUGGAAAAAUGCUUCUUUCAUUACUUGUUGGUGUUUAUGUCUUUUGCUUAAUGCUUGUUAUGACUUGAUCAACCAUGGCAUGAUUUUAGGGUUUACUUAAUGUUGGGAAAUAUUGUGUGAACCUUGAACUAGACUAAACACCUAAGGGAAAUAGUGUCUAGGGAUAGAGCUAGGACCUUUAGUUGCCUUAAACUUCUUUUCUUAAUGCGGGUGAACUUGUUGGGUUGUCAAGGGAUUGGGAUGUAACAAGUGAACCUAGGCUUUCUCACCAAGGGAUUGGGUUUGAGUAACUUAGCUAGUUGACAAGAGCAAGUUAAUGAAGAAGAGUNGUAUAGUGCAUUUGCAUAGGAGGGUCUUAGUUGAAAUCAUUCUCCAACAUAUCCAUUCCAUAUCAUCAUCAAUCAUUUCAUUUUCUAGUGUUUUGGUCCCAAGAAUUUCAACCCUUUAACUUUUGCAUCAUAUUUACUUUCAAUGCACAAAUUCACACAAAAAAGGGAACCAUUCUUUAGCUUAAACUAGUUAGUAAUUAUACGAGGGUAAAGUAAUACUGAAGUCUCUUGGGAAACGAUAUCCGGUCUUACCGGUUUUACUACUUGAGCGACUUGACACACUUGCCAAAGUCUCAACACAAAUGAGUCGGACUCAAGAGCUCAAAGCCAUUAAAACUCAUACACGCAUAUAUGUGUGGCCCAAUCAAGCCAAGAUCACUCACUAAGAGUAGUUAUUUCCUUCUAUUCAUUGAUGAUUUUUCAAGUAAAACAUGAAUAUAUUUCUUAAAAGAAAAAUCAGAAGUACUCGAGAACUUUAAGAAGUUUAAAGCCCAUGUUGAGAAGGAUAGUGGCCUUAUGAUCAAAGCUUUGAGAUCUGAUCAUUGAGAAGACUGAUCAUUAAGAAGAUUUCUCAUCAAAAGAGUUUCAGAAGUAUUGUGAAGAUAAUGGAAUUAGACGUCACUUGACAGUACUAAGAUUCCCUCAACAAAAUGGAGUGGCAGAAAGGAAGAAUAGAACAAUCCUAGAGAUGGCAAUGAGCAUUCUUAAAAGCAAAACACUUCCAAAGGAGUUUUGUGCUAAAGUUGUUGCAUGUGCAGUCUAUCUAACCAACCACUCUCCAAUAAGAAGCAUUAGUGGAAAAACACCAUAAGAAGCAUAUGGAGCGGAAGAAAGUCAAAUAUUUCUCAUCUUAGAGUCUUUGGAAGCAUAUCUCAUGUCCAUGUACCAGAUGAGAAAUGAAGUAAGCUUGAUAACAAAAGUGAAAAGUACAUCUUCAUUGAUUAUGAUGCCAACUCCAAAGGGUACAAACUCUACAAUCCUGAUACAAGGAAAACAAUCAUCAUUCAAAAUGUAGUAUUUGAUGAAGAAGGAGAAUGUGAUUUGUUGACAAACUGUGAGGACCAUACCUUCUUCCCGUGCAUUAAAGAAGAUGAUGUGGAACAACAAUAACAACCGUAAGAGGCACCUGCUACUUCACCUGCUUCAUCAGAUACAACCCCUCAAAAGAUGAAAGUUCAAGUGAAAGACCUCCACGUUUUUGAAGUCUCCAAGAAGUCUAUGAGGUAAUUGAAAAUCUAGACAAUGUUAACUUAUUCUGUCUAUUUGCAGACUGUGAGCCCAUGAACUUCCAAGAAGCAAUUGAAAAGAAGAGCUGGAGAAAUGCGAUGGAUGAAGAGAUCGAGGGAAUAAAGAAGAAUGAUACAUGGGAGCUAGUAUCGCUUCCAAAAGGGCAUAAAGCAAUUUGUUUCAAGUGGGUCUACAAAGCAAAGAAGGACUACAAAGGAGAAGUUCAGAGCUACAAAGCAAGAUUAGUGGCGAAAGGCUACAGUCAAAGGGAUGGCAUCGACUUUGACGAGGUAUUUGCUCUAGUUGCUCGGCUAGAAACGAUUAGACUUAUUAUAUCAUUAGCAGCUCAGGAUAAUUGGAAGAUACAUCAAGUGGAUGUCAAAUCCGCCUUCUUAAAUGGAGUUCUUGAAGAAAAAGUCUACAUUAAGCAUCCACAAGGAUAUGAAGUCAAAGGUGAAGAAGACAAUCUUGAAAUUAAAGAAAGUACUUUAUGGGUUGAAACAAGCCCCUAGAGCUUGGAAUGUUCGAAUUGACAAGUACUUCAAAGAAGCGAAUUUCAUCAAGUGUCCAUAUGAGCAUGCACUCUAUAUCAAAGGUCAAGGCAAAGAUAUUUUGAUUGUAUGCUUGUACGUCGAUGAAUUGAUUUUUAUAGGGAACAAUCCAAGCAUGUUUGAGGAAUUCAAGAAGGAUAUGACCAUGGAAUUUGAAAUGAUCGACAUGGGACUAAUGGCAUAUUAUCUCGGAAUUGAAGUAAAGCAAGGAAAUGAAGGAAUUUUUAUUACUUAAGAAAGCUAUGCCAAAGAGCUCCUUAAGAAGUUCAAGAUGGAUGAUGUUAAUCCAAUUGGCACUCCUAUGGAAUGCGACAUCAAGUUGAGUAAGGAUGAAGAGGGAGAAAAAAAGUGGAUCUAACCCUCUAUAAAAGUCUUGUUAGAAGUUUGUAUUAUUUAACUUGUACAAAACCAAACAUUCUCUAUGUUGUUGGAGGUGUGAGUUGCUACAUGGAAGCUCCAACAACUACUCACUUCAAGUCUGCAAAGAGGAUUCUUCAAUAUAUCAAAGGUACAACAAGCUUUGGCCUAUACAACUCCAUUUCUAACAAUUACAUGCUUUUUGGAUAUAAUGAUAGUGAUUGAAGUGGAUAUAUGGAUGAUCGAAAGAGCACAAGUGGAUUUUGUUCUACAUGGAGGACACAACCUUUACUUGGAUGUCCAAGAAGCAGCUUAUUGUCACUCUUUCUACAUGUGAAGCAGAGUAUGUAUCUAUUAUACUUCAUAUGUUUGUCAUGUUUUGGCUACGAAACCUAUUGAAGGAGUUAAGCUUGCCACAAGUGGAGCCAACAAAGAUUUUUGUGGACAACAAGUCGGCAAUAACUUUAGCAAAAAAAUCCAGUCUUCCAUGAUUGAAGUAAGCACAUCCACACCCAUUACCAUUACAUAAGAUAAUGCAUAAACAACAACGAUGUGCAAAUGAAAUACGUGAAGACACGUGAUAAAGUAGCAGAUUUCUUCACCAAACCACUAAAGAAGGAAGUCUUUAUGAAGUUGAGAAGUUUGCUUGGAGUACAAAAUCAAGUUUAAGAGGGGGUGUUGAAAUGUAAAUUGAUUUUGUGUUUUGGGCCUAUAAGAUAAAAGCCAAAGAUUAUAAAAGGCCUAAAUAGAAUUCUAGAAAAUCCUACCUAGAAGGAUUCUAGAAUAAUGUACAAAAAUAUCAAGGGAUGGUUAUCUAUAAGAUGUCCCUUGAUAAGUUUAGAAUUAUAGGAAUGUUUUAGAAAUCUCGAAAGAAUGAAUAAUGACCCUUAGAUUAGUGUUGUGGUGGCAAGAUCCUAACCAUUGAUUAAGUAGGUGUUAAUAGUAUAAAUAGGGGUGAUUGAAUCAUUUGUAAUCAAGACAAAAAUAAAAAAUAGAAACACUCAAUACAACAAAGUCUUUCCUUCUCUCAAAAUCUUCCAACUUCUCCCAAUUUUUAAAUACUUCCUCUAAGCCUUUAAAAUUUCCUCCCAACAUUUAAUUCCAAAUAAUCUAUCCCAAUACUUAAAUAUUAAACAUUUAUGUUGCACCACCUAAGGUAUGAAUUCAGGUCACUAGUAAGUCGUAGCAGGUAAGACCAUUUAUUACUUUUAGUAAAUGAUCUUGAAACUCAAAUAUUUAGAUUAUUUUUUGUAAAUUUACGAAGAGAGACAAUGUAAAUGAUGGUUUUUCAUACCUUGAUUGCAAAAGAAACAGGUAUACCCUCCAAUAAGUCACAAUUACUGAUAUGUAGCUUUUUCAAACUUUGGAAGAUUGAAAUAUCACUCUGACAAUCAUGCUCAUCCUCAACAAUGCUUUCCUCCUGAUUUUUAUUGAUCCUUUCGUCAGUUAUUAUAUCCUUCAAACUUUUGCAGUGUUCUAUGAACAAUUCUUCCAAAGAAGUCAAGGUCUUAGCUAUAGAUGCUGUAAAAAUUGAGUCUAACUUUCCACACCAUCUUAUCUUAAGACUUGUAAGGCUGGAUAGAGUUCCUGAAAAGAAAUUAUAAAUAAAUAAAUAAAAAUGGUUUCUAGGAACUAAAACCACAACCUAGAGCGUCAAACUAUCAGUUAAUAAGUUUGAAGCUACAUGUGUCACCAUUUUUAACUCAACAAUACCAUGCAGACUUACUAAUACAUGCUUAAACAUAUUUAGAAAUGAGAGAAGAAAAAUAUACCUGGGCUUUGCUUCACAACUGUUGUUGUUGGAAUUGAAGUGUUAUAUAAAUGUGGAUGCUUUCCUUCCUCAACGAUUUCAUCAAGUUCUUCUUUUCUAUCCUGCUCUGUUAAUGGAACAAUAUCUCUAAUUAUUUGUUCUAGCUUUUCACAUUCUCUUAUCUCGAGAACUUUCAAUUGAGUUAAGCCUCCUACAAUGUUGGCCGGAAAUAUAUGUUUUAAUCUUCCACAUCUAUUUAUCUUUACACGCUGAAGAUUCUGGAAGAUUUGUACAGGAUGCCCGCUGGUGAAUUCAUCUUCACUUUUCUCAUCAUAUGUUAAUAUAUGCUUCAGUUCAUCACAUCUUGAUAUUUUUAAUAUUUUCAAUUUUACCAAAUUUCGAGCAAGCACAUAUGUGAAGAGAAAUGUCAACCGUCCACAAUCACGUAAAUCCAACUUCUCUAAGUUCUCAAAAGCUCCAUUGGCAGGAAGAAAACAAUGCCAUAUAACUCUUAGGUUUCUCAUGUUCUUAAUCCCCAGCGUAUGCAACUUGGAGAAGAGAGUUACCACCUCACUCGAGUGACUACUAGUGUCAAUCAAACAUUCUAACUCUUUAGAAUAACGUAUCUCCAACUUAUUCAGCUCAUUCAAACCUCCUCCUUCAAUUUCAAAUAUAUCAGGGAUCAUAUUUUUUGCACCUCCAUGAAUAUUUCGUACAAAUAGAUCCUUUGCUUUUUUUGCCAAACCCUUUAUUACCUCAUUUGAUAUGUCAAAAUGGUUAAGUAAUAAAGUUCUUCCAUAAAUGUAAAUAUCUCCAUAAUUAAAAUGGUUAAAUUUACGGGACCCUAACACAAUUACAUACCUUUGUAGUGUUUCGGGAACGCUAAACGUCUUAAAGAAUUCAAUAUUGUCUUCACUGUUAGCAUCCUGCCAUUCUCCUUCAAUAUCAAUAAUGUAUAACUCUUCCAAAAGUGGGAUUCUCUUCAUCACUUCAAAAUUCUUCACUUUAAUGUCACAUUCAUUCAACUCUAACAAUUUUAAGGUUGUUAGUGUAAUUGCAACAUCGCUUUGUAAUUCAGGAAAUGAAGGUAGUGAACAACUAAAUAACUCCAGACUUUGAAGAUUCUUCAUAUCGCCUAAAAAUGAGAAGUUGCUCAAUUCAUAAUUCUCAAUGAAUAGAUAACGAAGAUUUGUUAAUGUUUUGAAAGUUAUUGUUGACAAUGGUGUUUCUUCAUCCUCAUCGUUGACAAGAAUCAAAACUUUGAGCGUUCCCAUUCUUUUGAAAAUCCCAUCAAGUUCUUUCAUCUUUGUCACUAAGUAUAAAAACUCAAGAUUGGAGCAAUCCAAAUCAUUUGGAAAUUUCACACACCAUAGAUAUCUUACUGAAUUUUGUCCCACUAUAACAUCUUUUUCCUCUUCACAAGUUAUCAUCUUAUUCUCAUUUUUUGCUAUUAUGUGGGCCACAUCACGAACUACGUCAUGCAUUUUGACACAUUCAUUAUCUGCAUCCGACAAUAAACAACAAGUAACAAGCUUAAUUUUAGCUACAAUCACUUCACUCCUUGCCUCUUCAUAUGAGUCAACUUCUCCAACUACACCUAAUCCUAUUGCAUAUCUUGUUAAAUCCUCAACUUGAAUUUUACAAUCUUUAGGAAACACAGAACACAACAGGAAAAGUGAUUUAGCUUCUUUAGUAUCCAAAUUAUCAUAGCUCAACUGCAAGCACUUGUAGAGAUCAAUCAAACCUCUUUCAAUAUUUAUUGGCUUAGAAUGUCUCAAUUUAUUCAAUGAAACACUCCAUACCGUCUCAGCUUUUCCCUUCAAACUACAAGCAACAGCUGCAAUCGCAACCGGCAAUCCUUUACAUUCAUUGCAAAUUAAUCUUCCCACAUCCUUUAAGGUAUCAGGGGUGCCUUCUGUUACAAAUGCUUUAGUUUGAAAAAGAGUCCAUGCUUCUUCAUCCGUUAAAACUGGCAAGUAAAUCUUUUUUUGACAAUCCAUUAAAGUACAAACUGCUUCUGAUCUACUGGUAAUAAGAAUCUUGCAGCCUUUAUGGUAUUCAGAAGAAGGAAUCCCAAUACGACCAAAGUCAAGCUUUUCCCACACAUCAUCUAGGAUUAUAAAAAUAUUUUCCUCUUCAAUUAAUCUUGAGCACAAUAUUUGGGCUCUCUGCAUUUCUUCAGUUUCUUGAAAUUCAACUUGCAGUGAACUUGCUAUUUUUUUUUGAAUCCUCCCAACUUCCACUGUACUAGAAACAGGUACAAAAAGAACUUUUUCAAAAAGAUGCUCUGCUUCUACGAACUUCCUAACCAUCAUUGCUAAUGUAGUUUUACCACAACCACCCAUUCCAUACAACCCAAUCAUGGAAACAUCAUUAUUUUUCACUGCAUGUAGUAGUUGGUCUUGUGCAGAUUGUCUACUCUCAAAAUUCAUGUAUUUUUCUGAAAGAAUGUCAAGGGUGAACUCACUGCUACCAGUAAUAGUUGAAUCUUCAUAUAUGAAUCUUACUAUUCUUGUAAAUUCCGAACAAUGAAAUCCAGUAUUUAUGAAAUCUGUACAAAGAUAUAUAUAUUAGGAAAUUCACUUGAAAAUGAAAUACAUAACAGAAGGGAAUACAACCUCAACUUUUCAUGAUGGAUCGUGAUAUCAUUGUAAUUAAAAAAAGAUAUAAAAAGUUUCAUGAUAGGAUUUUUUUUUUUAUCACCCAUCAUAAUAAAGUGGCGACUUUACGUCUUAAGGAUGUACCCUUUACAACAGUGUUCUUCGUAACUGAAAUUACUCGAAUGUAAAAUUAAAAUUCUUCCAGCAAAAGUUAAGUUAAUUUGUUUAUUUUAAAAAAUUAUGGUGAGUACUUGGUUGGGAAUUUGAAACCGUCUUCUCUGAGUGAAAUAAUGAAUUUGUAAAUCUAUUUUCUUUAUGAUCAUAUUUUAUGAACGAAUUAGCAAGUUUAGUUGGGGAUUGUGGAGAUAGAAUAAGCGUAUUCAAAACAUUUAAAUAUAACAAUUAUUUAAAAUUUCUUGACAUCAUAAAAAAAAUAUAUUAAAAAUAAUAAAUUGUAAUAGUACACUAUGAUAGAUUAAAUUACAUACAUAACUAAAUUUUAAUAGUGCAAACAAAAUGUAAAAAUUACUAAAAAAGAGUUAAUUUCUUAAAAUAAUUUGAGUCUAAUAAUAUAUUUUCGUUGUUGAAUAAAAGUUACAUUUAAUUUGAAACUCGUGUAAACUUUUGAGAUUGUAUACGAGUUAAGAUCAAAAUUUAUUUAGAGAAGAAUUAGAUAGCGAGUUACCUUAUUUCUAUACUGUAAUAGUUUAAAUUUGAAGACUUUAUAUAGUAUUUACCUUCGUAAGGAAAAUCUAGCCAGAGCUUCUCAAGAGUUGAUGUUGAAGUCAAAGAGAGUUUUGGACAUUUGUAGACAUUGUAAUUCUUUAAAUUAUGAAGUUCAAUCUCUUGACGGAACUUUGAAAGAUGCCUAAAUAUUAAAAGCUUGAGUCUUGGAAGCUCAACUUUAUUGUUUCCUUGUUUACAUCCAACAAGUUCUUCUAGUUCAUUGGCUCCAUUUAUGGCCAGAAGAUGAAGAUUGGGAAGGUCAUCAGAAGCAGAUUCAGAGAAUAAUCUUUUCAACUUGUGACAAUUAUCAACAUGCAAUGCUUCUAGUUUUGGGAAGCAUGGUUGAGGAGAAUGAAUAUUAGACAAAUUUUUAUCCCCUUCAAUGAUUUCUCUUAAUUCAUUGCAUUUUCUUAUCACAAGAACAUUCAACUUUGGUAAGCAUCUUAAAACAGAAUUUGAAAAGAUUACUUCCAAUGAGUCACAUUCAAUUAUUUCUAGUUUUCCAAGAUUUAGGAAGGCAAAAUAAUUUUUUGAAGGGCACGUCACAGUGAGAGUGUUGGUAGCAUAAAAGCUGACAAAACUUGGUAGUCUCGAAAGAUGGAGCGUUUCUAAUGGUGAGAAAUGAAUAUGAGUCUCCUUGUAAUCUUGAUUAGCUACGGGAUAUUCGCCAAUAUAUUUCAACUGGCCACAAUCGCGCACUGAGAGCUCUCUUAAGUUAGGGAAGAUAGCUUUCCUAUUCUCUUUGCCAUAUUCAUAAAGAAAUGUCAACCGUGGACAAUCACGUAUCUCCAACUUAUUCAACUCAUUCAAACCUCCUCCUUCAAUUUCAAAUAUAUCUUUUGCACCUCCAUGAAUAUUUCCUACAAAUAGAUGCUUUGCUUUUUUUGCCAAACCCUUUAUUACCUCAUUUGAUAUGUCAAAGUGGUUAAGUAAUAAAGUUCUCCCCUCAAUGUACAUAUUUCCAUCAUUAUAAUUAAAGUUAUCAGACCCUAAUACAAUUCCAUACCUUUGCAAUGUUUCGGGAAUGCUAAACGUCUUAAAGAAUUCAUUAUUAUCUUCACUGUUAGCAUCCCAUUCUCCUUCAAUAUCAAUGAUGUACAACUCUUCCAAAAACGGGAUUCUCUUCAUCACUUCAAAAUUCUUCACUUUAAUGUCACAUUCAUUCAACUCUAACAAUUUUAAGCUUGUUAGUGUAAUUGCAACAUCAGUUUGUAAUUCAGGAAAUGAAGGCAGUAAACAAUAAUAUAACUCUAAACUUUGAAGAUUCUUCAUGCCGCUUAAAAAUGAGUAGUCGCUCAAUUCACAAUUUAAAAUGGAUAGACGUCGAAGAUUUGUUAAUGUUUUGAAAGAUAUUGUUGGCAAUGGUGUUUUUCCAUCACCAUCGUUCUCAAUAAUCAAAACUUUGAGCAUUCCCAUUCUUUUGAAAAUCCCAUCAAAUUCUUUCAUCUUUGUCCGUAAGCAUAAAAACUCAAGAUUUGAGCAAUCCAAAUCCUUUGAAAUUUUUGCACACCAUAGAUAUCUUAUAGAAUUUUGUUCUACUGUAACAUCUUUUUCCAUUUCACACUUGAUCAUCUUAUUCUCAUUUUGUGCUAUGAUGUGGGCCACAUCACGAACUAUGUCAUGCAUUUUGACACGUUCAUGAUCUGCAAUCAACAAUAAACAACACCUAACAAGCUUAAUUUUAGUUGCAAUCACCUCACUCCUUGCCUCUUCAUAUGAGAGAGUUUCUCCAACUACACCUAAUCCUAUUGCACAUCUUGUUAAAAUUUCAACUGGAAUUUCAGAAUCUUCAGGAAACACAGAGCACAAUAGGAAAAGUGAUUUGGCUUCUUUAGUAUCCAAAUUAUCAUAGCUCAACUGCAAGCACUUGUAGGGAUCAAUCAAACCUCUUUCAAUAUUUAUUGGCUCUGAAUGUUUCAAUUUAUUCAAUGCAACACUCCAUUCCAUCUCAUCUUUUCCCUUCAAACUACAAGCAACAGCUGCAAUCGCAACCGGCAAUCCUUUACAUUCAUUGCAAACUAAUCUUCCCAGAUCCUUUAAGGUAUCAGAGGUGGCUUCUGAUAUAAGUGCUUUAUUUUGGAAAAGAGUCCAUGCUUCUUCAUCCGUUAAAAUUGGCAAGUAAAUUUUUCUUUGACAAUCCAUUGAGGUACAAACUGCUUCUGAUCUACUGGUAAUGAGAAUCU